AGAGCGCCGUCGACCCCACGCCACGCAGAGGUGAAGAUACGCAGGACGUCCUCUAAAGCAACUUCCGUGGGUGCCAGGUUGUGGGCUGGGGGCGGUGCUGACCUUGAGAGAGCGGAGGAGGCGCAGGCGCAGCACAGUUUAAACUUGAUUUUGUGAGGGGACGAACAGCGUGACAAUUAAAAGAAGAUCUGGGAAUCGUAAGUACUGACAGAAUACCUGGAGGGAAGGUGGGACUGGAGAAUAGUUUGUGAAACAGAUCCUGCUGAGGAUGAAUCCAGAACUUCCUGAAGGGUUCCGCUUCUGCUGUGUAGGGACAAGGUUGUAAAUAGACAAGCCACAGGCACCUGCAAAUGGUAAGUGUGGUAGAGAGGGGCUGGAAUUGCCUGUUGGUGUAUCUGUGGGAAGCAGCUGCUAUCCUUGAGGAAGAAAAGAUGGAGAAGGUAAGUGGCUAUCAACCUGUCAGAGACAACACAUUCUGUGAAGUUGUACUCUUUCAUUUCUGACACUGUGGUUCUUAAUAUCUGUCCUAAACCUGGCAGUCAUUGAGGUUCGCAAAGUAUCUCCUUCUAUGUGACAGUAAAACUGGAAUUACUAUCAGAAUGGAAUCCAUUCCUGCUAGAGUAAAACCAUGAAAAGAAAUCGCAGUUUUGAUUAUCUGCUUAUCAUUUUUAAUAGAUCACAGAGUGCAGUGUUCCUUAUUUGUUGUAUGGCAAGUUGAUGAAUAACUCUUGAUUAAUAUCUUUUAAUGUUCUGUUUCACACAGUUCUCUCAAUUACAUGUGAAAAAUCUGUUAUAUAAGUAAUGCUAUUUAAUGAUUAAAAUGGAUAUAUGUUUUAAGGUAGUGCCACCCAGUCUUUUUUUUUUGGUAGAAUAAUAUUAUUAUCUAUUGGUUGCCUGCCUUGAAGUACAGUAAUUUCUCUGUUUCCAUUAUUUAAAAUAGGUGAGUGUCUUUGACAAAGAUACAAAGAAAGGGGACAGUUAUGAAAGGGAAGAAAAGAUAGAUGGAGAUGAAAAGAAAUUCAGUAGUUUCAGCAAGGGAAUUAGGAGCAUAAUCUUUGAGAAAAGUCUUGGUUGCUUACCAUUCGGGCUUUGUGAUGAGUUGAAAUGUCCUGAAUGAGAACUGUUCUCAAAUGCUUUCAAGACCAACAAAAAGUACGAUACCCACACUGACCUGGAACUCUUUAAACCAUUAAGAUAUAUCACUUUUUCGCAGUUCAGUCCAUAUUUUUUGCAAAAUGUUCUGCUUAGUUUUUCUGCUAAGAAAUUACUGUUUCUGAACAAGGUUAAGUGUCGUAUGCUUUCAUUGUAGUUUUUUUUCCCCUAACAUAUACUGUUUUCCUAAUUAGACUAUAAAUUCCUCCACAGCUGGGACCUUGUUUUGUUUUCUCGCCUUCCCCAUAACAAAUAUCAUUUAAGUGAAUGUUGUAAACAGUUACUUCAUUUAAAUUGCCCUUAAAAUGCUUUAUGACAAAGACGUUAUUUGUAGUAAUACCUAUAAUGGUAAAAAGUUUGUUGCAGUCUUACAGACGAUAAGAUUGAUCAAUUGUUAUAUAUGCUUAGUGGAAUUUUAUCUAGCUGUUCUAAAGAGCCAUUAGACUAGUCUUUCUAAUGGAAAAUGUUUAUUGUCUAAGUUAAAACAGCAUUUGAGGCCAGGCACAGUGGCUCACUCCUGUUAUUGCAGCACUAUGGGAGGCUGAGGUGGGAGGAUCACUAGAGCACAAGAGUUGGAGACUAGCCUAGGCAAUAUAGUGAGACCUCUUCUCUACAAAAAAUUUAAAAAUUAGCUGAGUGUGAUGGGGUGUGCCCGUAGUUCCAGCUACUCAGGAGACUGAGGUGGGAGGAUCACUUGGGUCCAAGAGGUAGAUGUUGCAGUAAACCAAGAUCAUGCCACUGCACUGCAGCCUGGGCAACAGAGCAAGAUCCUGUCUCAAAAAAUUAAAAAGCAUUUUAUAGACUGCAUGUUUGUGUCCCCCCUCCCUCCGCACCAGAAUUCAUAUAUUGAAGCCUUAAUCUCCAAUGACAUGAUAUUAGUAGGUGGGGCCUUUGGGGGGUGAUUAAAUAAUAAGGGUGAAGCCCUGCAUGGGAUUAGUGCCUUUACAACAAGAGACCCUAGACAGCUUGCUUCCACUCUUUCUUUGCUCUUCACCAUGUGAGGACACAGCAAGAAAACAGACAACUACAAAUCAGGAAGAGGGCCUAAUUUGUGCCAACCAUGCUGGCACUCUUCUCUAACUUCCCAGCCUCCAGAACUGUGAGAAAUAAAUUUCUGUUGUUUAAGUCACCCAGUUUAUGGUAGUUUGGUUAUAGUUGCCCAUAUUAAGACAGCAGGAUGCAAAAUUGUGGCCAGUAUGAUUGCUUUGACAUGAAACAAAUUUUAAGCACAAAUUGCAAAAAGUAACCAAAAUAUAUCAAUCCCCACUGCUGGCAUUAACACUCUAAAACAAACUUUGUAUAUUGGGGGAUUUUAUUUAUUUAUUUAUUUAUUUUUUUUGCUGACCAUAGUGACUCAUGCCUAUAAUCCCAGCACUUUGGGAGGCCGAGUUGGGCAGAUCACUUGAGGCCAGGAAUUCAAGACCAGCCUGGCCAACAUGGCAAAACCCCCUCUUUACAAAAAUAUAAAAAUUAACCAGGCAUGGUGGCACACCCCUGUAGCCCCACCUACUUGGGAGGCUGAGGUGGGAGGAUCGCUUGGGCCUGUGAAGCAGAGGUUGCGGAGAGCUGUGAUGGCACCACUGCACUCCAGCCUGUGUGACAGAGCGAGACUAUCUCAAGAAAAAAAAAAAAGGAUGAGGAUUUUUUUUGUUUUCAACAUGCUUUUUAACAUCCACUAUAUUACUCUCAUCUUUCUAGGCUGGAAAAAAAAAUGUUUUAAAUGUUAUUCUGAAGUAUAUUGCAACCUUUAACAAUUCAGUAGACUUCUGAAUUUUUAUUUUCAUGUAGCUUACCACAGUUGUAUCUAGGAAUAUAUCACAUAGCUGAUUAAUUGGUGAAAUAACCCUUGCAAUUUUACACAGGUUGUACAGUGCACAUUUUCAAGGACCACUCACAUACAUCCAUUUGAUAUUUUUUGGUAUCAAGAAAGUCUUUAAACAAUCAGUACCACCAAUAGCAGUAAAAAGACAAAACUGUCUGAAAGUACCUAUCUGUUUAAAACUUUAAUUAGCUUUAUCCAUCCAUUAAAUAGUUAUUGAAUAUAAAACUGUAUCAUUCACUCUUCUACACUCUGAGGAAAUAGUGGUAAAUAAAGCAGAUAUUGUCCCUACUAUCAGGAAAUUUACAUUUUAGUAGUAAUAAGCCAUAAAUUAACAAAAACAGAAGACAGUGGUAAGUACUAGGCAUGAAAUUCAAACAUGACUAUUUUAGAUUAGGUGAUUAAAGAAACUAAAAUACCAUUUAAGCUGCUGUGUAAAUGACAAGAGAAUCCAGCUUUGUAAAAAUUGGUGAACCCUUUGCUUGCAGAAGGGACAACUGCAAAAUCUAAGGCAUGAUCUAGCCUGGAAUAUUUCAGGAGCCAAAAGAAGGCCUGCAUGGUUAGAGAAUAGUGACUUAAGACGCAAAUACUGUAACUUUGGAGGGAUAGGAAAGGGCUAGAUCAUGUUACCUUUGAAAGACAGGAAAGAGUUUAGAUUUUAUUCUAUGUGCAAUGGAAAAAAAAAUGAGAGCAUUUUAAUCCAAAGAGUAAUAUAAGAUAAUAUAUUUUUAAAAUCCACUUUGGUAAUUUGUUAAUUGGCAUAAAGAGUCAGCUUUCAUGUAACAUAAUUACUAACAUACUUGGAUUUAAAUUUGUCAUUAUUCUUAUUUUAUUUGUCCCACCUCUUAUAUGUUCAUUUUGUCUUCUUUUGCCUUUUUGAUUUUUUUUUUUCUUAAUUAGGCCAUAGCACCUGAUAUUCCCAGGCAGACUCUCAUCCAAGUGCCAAUCAGCCCCAGCCCUGCUUAGCUUCCCAGAUCAGAUGAGAACAGGCAUAUUCAGGGUGGUAUGGCUAUAGACCUUUUAGAUUAUUUUUAAUUAUUCCAUUUUUUCUACCUCAUAAGCUUGACAGAUGUCUUUUAGUAUCUUUUUACUGUUCACCUCAGGUAUUAAAACAUGGAACCUUGGUUUAUCAUCUUUAAGAUAAUUUGGUAUUAUACUUCUUCCAGGACAAUGUAAGGACCUGCGAACACAUCAACUUCAUUUACUGCCACACCUCAUGUUAUAUACAUUGUAUAUUCUUAAUAUGUAUUUCCUAAAUUCUCAAGACAUUUUUUAUACAAUAUGAAUUUACAUUUCAUAUUGUAUAAAACAUUUACUUUUUCUAUUGUGUUUCGUGGUUCCUGGAAUCUGAGCUUCCAUCUAAGACCUUAUUUCUUCUUGAAGGACAUACUUUAAUAUUUCUUCGAAUAUCUACUGGUAACAAUUCAUUCAGAUUUUCUGUCCUGACACUGUCUUAUUUUACUUUCAUUUUCUAAGAACGUUUUUGCUGAAUUAGCAGCUAUUUUAUCAUUUUGAAGAUAUAUUUUAUUCCUUCUGGCUUCCAUUAUGUCCUCUAAGACAUAAUGUCCAUUUUGUUUUUUUCUCUUCAAAGGUAAUCUUUUUUUGGAUGGCUACUUUUAAGAGGUUUGUCUUAAGUUUGGUGUGCCCACAUGUGUUUUGUGUUUGUUUUUUUGUGUGUGUGGUUUUUUUCUGCUUCGAGAUUGAUAAUGUUUCUUGAAUCUGGCUGUGAUGUCCUUAGGCUGUUUGAGAAAAUUCUUAGCUCUGUUUGAUCAGACAUUGCUUCUGCUUUCACUCUCCUUUCUCCUCUUCUUUUGAUACUCCACUUACAUUUGUAUUUGACAAUUCACUUUGUCCCUUGUAUUUUCCAUUUAUUUUCUUGUCUGUUUCAUCCUGAAUAUUUCUUCUUAACUUUCAGUUCACUAUUUUCUCUUAGUAGUCUCGAAUUUGUUAAAUCUCUCUUGAAGCAUUUAUUUUAGUUAUAUUUUUGGUUAUCAGUUCAAACAUUUCUACUUGAUUCUGUUUUAUUGUUUCCAGUUGUUUAUCCAAUAUCUCAAUCUUUUAUUUCCUCAAACAUACUAAUCAUAAUUACUUUAAAACCUGUAUCUAAUAACUAUGGUGUCUGCUAUUAUCUGACACUUUUCUUGUUUCUUGCUGUUAUCACAUUGUCUUGCUUUUAUGUCCCUUAUUUUUAUGUUAUUUUGUAUUAUUUAUUUUAUAAACAUUAUAAAUAUAUAAAACUUGGCUUAGGUUAUGUUUUAAUUGAAUGUCAGAAUUGUUUUGAUUGAACUGUAUAUGAGGAAACUAUACUUUGAAGUCCAAUAUGAUGGUAUUUUCUAAAGAAAGAAUUUAUGUCUCCUGGCAAGACCUUUGGACACUAGUAAUCUAAGAUCUUCUUAAUCUGGUUAGUGAUAGAGACAAUUAGAAUAUAGGCAGGUCUAUUUCCUGUUCAUACUUUCACAAUGUAGACCUCUGAAGUCCCAACUCAAGCAUGCAGAGUUUACCAGAUCAGGCCCUAAACUUCAGUUUUUGUCUUUUUAAUUCUAUGGGUUAGAAACUCUGUUCAACUUUUCAGCCAUCACCUCAGGAAUCAGAAGAUACUCCAGAGGAAAAGCUAAUGUAAAUGCUGGAUUCAACAACUCUGUUUUUUCCUUCUGAAUAUUUCAUUGUCUCUAAUGCUGUCAGAUGUUUGUUUUAUAUUUUGUCCAAGCUGAGUGUGGUGGCUCACGUCUGUAAUUUCAGCACCUUGGGAGGCCAAGGCGGGACCAUCCCUUGAGGCCAGGAAUUUGAGACUAGCCUAGGCAACAUAACAAGACCUUUGUCUCUUGGAAAAAAAUAAAUAAAUAAAUAUUAUUAGAAGUGAAAAUGGGGAUGUUGUUACAAAUGCUGUGGAGAUUGAUGAGAAAUUAUGAACAACUUAAUAAUAAAUGGGAAAAUAUAAAUGAAGUAGGCAGUUCCAGAAAAUGUAACUUUUCAAAAGCCAUGUAAUGGAAAAUAUAAAUGGUGGGAUGUUGAUGUAAGAAAUCAUGAUGCCCAGAGACUUUUGCCAAACCUUCAAAGGACAGAUCAUUACAAUUUUACACAAACCAUUCCACAGUAUAUUCCACUUAUAUACUGUGGAAUUGGCCCUUACUGCCCUUAUCAAAUUUAACAUCAAGGUUACAGAAGCUUAAUAUUACUGCCCUGAUUUUAUUAGGGCAGUAAUGAUUUGAUAAGGGCAGUAAGAAUUACAGCCCUGUCAUAUUCGCAAAGACAAAAAUCCUAAAUAAAACAGACCUUAGAAAAUGUGUUUUUAAGAAAAGAUAAUAAAACAUGAUCAGGUUGAAUUUAACCCAGGAAUGUAUUUUAGUAUAUUAAGAGAUUAGAAAAACUAUCUGGCUAUCUGAACAGAUGCAGGAAAAGAAAACUAUUUGAAAAAAUUAACAGACAUAGAUAAACCUUUGGGCAAAUUAGAAUUGUGUAGAACUUCCUUGAGCCAAUAAAACCUACAACAACAAUAUUUUAAGAUGAAGUAUUUGAAGCAGUCCAUUAGAAUCAGGAACAAGUACUAUGUUGGAGAUCCUAGCCAGCAUUAUAAGGCAAGAAAAACAAAAGAUUAAAAAUUGUAAAUAAACAUAACUUAGUCUACAGAUAAAUUAUUGAAGAGCUUUGCAAGGAUUCUGAAUAUACUAUUGAUAUGGUUUGGAUCUGUGUCCCUACCCAAAUCUCAUGUUGAAUUGUAAUCCCCAAUGUUGGAGGUGAGGCCUGGUGGGAGAUUGGAUCACGGGAAUGGGUUUCUCAUUCGUGGUUUAGUACCAUCCUCUUGGUACUGUCCUUGAAAUAGUUCUUAGGAGAUCUGGUAAUUUAGAAUUGUGUGGUACCUCUCCCCUCUCUCUUGCUCUUGCUCCCCCUUUGCCUUCCACCAUGAUUGGAAGCUUCCUGAAGCUGCCUCAGAAGCAGAAGCCACUAUGCUUCCUGUACAGCUUGCAGAACCAUGAGCCAAUUAAACCCCUUUUCUUUAUAAAUUACUCAGUCUCCAGUAUUUAUAGCAAUGUGAAAACAGAUAAUAUGACUAUCAAUAUACAAAAGUGAAUUGCAUUUCUUUCCAGCAGAAAUGAACUGUUAGAAAAUGAUUUUUGUAACAUACCAUUUACUAUAUUCCUUUAAAAAUAUAAAUUAGGUAACUUAACAAAAGGUAUAGAAGACCUCUGUAGAAAAUUACAAAACUUUAUUGACAGGCAUUUAAAAAUGUCUAAUUUUAAAAUUGCCAUGUUCAAUGAUUAAAAGACUCGAGUUAAGAUGGCAGUUCUCCACUACACAAUGAAGGUAAUUGCAAUACAAAUCCCAAAUGAGUUUUUCAAGGAGCUUGACAAACUGAUUCUAAAGUCUGUAUGACAAAAAGCAGAAUUCAGGAUACUCCAGAAGCAGAUUUAAGAUAGAAUUGACUUGUAGAUAUUCGUAACAGCAAAAAAAUAAAAACAACUCAAAUAUCCAUCAAAAGAUAAAAUGUUUAUCCAUGAAAAGAUACUCAAAAAGUGACACCUUUAUAUAAUGGGAUAUAUUUGGCUGCAAAAAGGAAUGAACUGCUAAUACCUGCUAUAAUGUGGAUAAACCUUGAAAGCCUGCUGAAAUAAAGAAGCCAGUCACAAAGGACCACUUAUGAUUCCAUUUAAACAAAGUGUAUAAAGUAGAAAAUGUAUUGAGACAAUAGAUUGUGGUUGUUUAGGGCUUACAAAGUUUGGGGUGAUGGGGGCCCGAGGUAGUGACAGCUAAAGGGUGCAGUUUCUUUUUGAGGCAAUAAAGUUCUAAAAUGUAUAGUUGCACGUUUCUGUAGAUACACUAAAAUCAAUUCAGUUGUGCAUUUAAAUGAGUAAAUUGGUAUGUGAAUUGUACCUCAAUAAAUCUGUUAAAACCAUAGUAAUUAGGAUAUUGUAAUACUGGCUUAGAGAUGGAAAAAUUGAUUUAUAAGGAAUCCUGAUUGUAAGGAAUCUUGACUUAUGUCAGAGAUGGCAUUGCAUACCAGCAGGGAAAGCUAGAUCAUUUCAAUAGAUGACGCUGCAUAUUCAUAUGGGGGAAAAAUGAAAUUGGUCCUCCCUACCUAACACCAUACAGAAAAAGUAGUUUCAGAUGACUUUAAGAUGUAAGUGUGAAAGGAAAACAUAGUAAACCUUCAAAAGAAAGAUUGCAAAAUAUUUUUAUGAUCUUAUGGUAGGGAAAUGUAAUAUGUAUAAAGGAAAACAUGUAUGUCCAAUAUGUUAAAGUUAAAAACCUCUGUUCAAGACUCCAUAAACCCUCAGAAUAGCGGUUAAUUUCAGUCAUGCCCAGGAAACAUACAAGAUGAGCCUGGAAUACCUUGUGCAAGAUAGCAAGGAAGCUAUUAGAGACUACGAGGGUGUCAUAUCAAAUGGACUCAGGAGACAACUGAAAAGCAUCCUUCUGGCCAUAGAUGAGACCAUUUGAGUGUCAAUAAGGACAGUAAAUGCAAUUGAUUGGAACAUAUCAAGUGUCUUUAAAUCUGAGUACAUAAUGAUUGUAAAACAAACAGCAUUUAGUUGGUCAACAGUAGAAGAUGCUGUUGCAUCAAUUCAUUAUUUUGAAAAUCAGUUUUGUUUUGUUUUUAAAGUAAUUAGGCAUUUGUCCUGCCUUUUGUAUGUGAACUGUAAGUAACCACAUAGUAGAUGAGGAGAGGGUUCUCUUUGUACAUGUAUUCUAGCUAAUAAAUGGAGGAAUGAUAGAAAAUUGCCAUUUUGAAAUUCCUAAUGAACAAAUGGAUUUAUUUAUUGCAUUUCAACAGCUGCUAACAUGACAGACAAGAAAACAUAUGUUUCUUAAUGGAAAAACACCACUACUGAUGUUAAAAUCUUAUCAAAAAUUUGACCCUGAUACUAAUCAGGUCUUUAGAUCCAUCCAAUUUGCAGAAAAUAUAAACACCAUUAAAACUUUAAGCCAAUGAAACCUACCACAACGUAAUAUUUUGGAAUGGAAAAUAUAAAUGAAAAAUCCAAUUUUGGAGAAUAUUGGGACAAAUUAAUUUCAACAAAUAUGUUGCAGGAGAAAAGGAGACGAGAAGGACAAGUGGAGAAAACCGUAGAUUACAAGAGACUUAGUUCAAUAUGAAGCAACCUGUGAACUUGGAUUAGUUAUCUUACUGUAUAACAAAUCACCCUAGCUUAAAUCUAAAAAUAUUUAUACACUUUCUUAGGAUCCACAGGUGGUUUAGCUAGAUGUUCUGGCCCAAGGUCUCAUGAAUUUGCAGUCAAGAUGUUGGCUGGGCUGUAGUCUGAAAGUUUGACUGGUGUUAGAGGAUCCACUUCCUAGAGGGCUCAUUCGUAGAGCUGCCUGUGUUUUCUCACAACAUGGCAACUGGCUUUCUCUAGAACAGGUGAUCCAAGAGAGAGACAGAAACCAUGAUCAUUCAGAGUGAUGUAACAUUACUUCUACUAUAUAAUGUUAGUCACACAGACAUUUCCCUGACAAUAUGUGGGAGGAGAUUACACAAGAGCAUGAAUACUGGGAAGCUAGCUGUCACAAUUUGGCCCCAAUGAUUGAUAGUUCUUGAUUUGCAAAAUAUAUUCAUCCCCUCCAAAAGCUCUCCAAAGCUCUCAUCCUAUGACACCAUUAGUUCAAGGUCUAGAAAUCUAAAUCAGUUCCAAUUGUGGAUGACACUCAUAGGUGUACUUAAGUACAGCUCCUCAAGAAGAGUUCUUUUUGAUCUGAAGACUCAUACACUAAAGACACAGUCUCUGCUUCCACAUGUAAUAGAAAAUGAAUAGGAUAAUAAAUGUGGACAUGUAUAUUUAAAAAGAGGGAAUAUUGGAGGUACAUAGGUUCACAGAAAUUCUGAAACCCACCUGGGCACAGAUUGGCAGUUGCUUGGUCAAGUUUCAAGGCCUAGAAUUCUCUUAGCUCUGCCUUCUGGGAUCUUGGAUCUACUCACUGAGUCACCCUUUCUUUUUCUUGUUUACACUUCUGCCUGCUUUCUGCCUAUAGAAGCUUGGAUGUCCCACAAGCUUCUUUCCAUUUGGUUCUCUCUGUGCCUUUCAGUCCAGGCUGGCCAUGUUUCUGCUAAUAGACUUCUCUUAAAAACUUUGUGGCUCACUUGUGAAUUUUGAGUUCACUCCAUCAGACAAAAGCAACAACCACACAUCUCGUCCCACAUAAACUCUGCCUCAAGCUUUUGCUGAUGAAAAUACCCUUAAACUUUUUAAAAACCUGUGAUGUUAUUCAGAGAUUUUCUGAGACACAUCGUUUGUCUGAUGAAAAUACUCUGAGGCACAACUUAAGAUCUUUCUGAGCUAUUAAAGGACUUUAUAACUACAGCCUCAACUUUAUGUUUUACUGGCAGUGCCCUAGAUUUGCUUUUUGCUCAGAGAUAUUCCCCAAUUUUAGCACAUUUGUCAUCUGCACAGGCUGGGAAUCUUCAAAUCCAGCAAGUUUUGACUUGUUUUUGUUUGUUUGUUUGUAAUAGAGUCUGUUUUUUGCUGUGUUGGCCAGGUGAUCUUGGACUCCUGGCUUCAAGCAUUCCUCCCACCUCAGCCUCCCAAAGUUCUGGGAUUUUAGGUAUAAGCCACCAUGCCCAGCCAUGGCUCCUUUUUGUUUAACAGUCCUUACUUUGAUGGUCUCUCUUCUCACACAUUUUACUAUCAGCAACAAGAAAAAAUACACAUGAAAUAUUUAACACUUGGCCGGCAAUCUCCUUUGCUAGAUCAAUGAGUUAAUUAGGCAUUUUUUCUACUUUGUACAUAUCUGUGGAUAACAAAUUUGCUAAACUUUCUGCCAUUAUGUAACAAGGAUCUCCUUCCCUCUAGUUUCCAAGAAGAGUUUUCUAAUCUGUUAAGAUGUCACCUGCAGCCUCCUCAAAGGUUAUCUAUUAUGCUUCUAUAAAAAAUUUCUUCAAAGCUCUUCAAACUUUCAUUAACACUCUCCUCCAAGUUCUACCUUCUGUUCACUGCCAGUUUUAAAACCACACUUACAUUUUAGGUUUUUGCUAACACCCCACUUCUGAGUACCAAAAUGUAUACUGAUUUUCUAUUGCUGCAUAAUAAACUGCCCCAAAAUACAACAUGCAAAGCAAUAAAUAUUCAUUAUCUCAUGUAGUGUCUGAAGGUCAAAAAUCCGGAAGCAGCAUAGCUGAGUGGUUCUGAUUCAUUGUCUCUUGUGAAGUUAUCAGUCAAACCAUCAGCUGAGACUGUAAUCAUCUGAUGUUUUAACUAGUACCAGAGGAUACACUUUCACAUGCUAUUGGCAGGACACUUUAGUUCUUCACUAGCUGUUUAGCAGAAUACCGCACUUCCUCACCACAUGUACCUCUUCAUAGAGCUUCCUGGCUUCCUCUAAAACAAGUAAUCCAAGAGAGAAGCAGAAGCCACCAUGGUUUUUUAUGCCGUUGUUGACCUAGCCCCCAAAGUGACAUAUUAUUACACAGAUAUGUAGCCAACCUGUGGGUCACUGAUACGGUUUGGAUGUGUGUCCCCUCCAAAUCUCAUGUUGAAAUGUGAUUCUCAGUGUUGGAAGUGGGGCUGGUGAUAGGUGUUUGGUUCAUGAGGGUAGAUCCCUUAUGAAUGGCUUGGUGCUGUCUUUGUGGCAAUAAGUGAGUUCUCACUAUCUGAGUUCACACAAGAGCUGGUUGUUUAAAAGAGCCUGUCAUCUCUUUUGCUCCCUUUCUCACCAUGUGAUAUGCUGCUCCCCUUCUCUUCUGCCAUGAAGAAAAGCUUCCUGAGGCCUUCACCAGAAGCAGAUGCUGGUGCCGUGCUUCUACAGCCUGCAGAACUGUGAGCCAAAUAAAGUUCUUUCCUUUAUAAAUUACCCAGCGUCAGGUAUUGUUUUAUAGCAAUGCAGAACAGACUAACACAGACACACACACCAACCAAGUACAGUAUGAGAAGGGAUUAUUGGGUGCCAUUUUGGAGGUUGUCUACCACAGGAUUUUAUCUGUAUCAUUAUUCAAAUUUCGUUUUUGAAAAAUUUUGUAAGGGCACAUUUAUAGAAAUAUGAAUGCUUAAUAUUUGAUGAUAUUAGGGAAUUAAACCAUUUUUGUGUGAUAGUAAUUUUUAAAGAUUCCUUAUCUUUUAGAAAUACAUAUUGAAAUAUUUAGAGAUGUAGUGAUAUAAUGUCUGGGGUAUGCUUCAAGAUAAGAGUUGCAGAAAGUGGGUGGUAGUAUAAAUCAAGAUUGGUUAUGAGUUGAGAAUUUUUGAGUAAUAGGUAUAUGGGGACUAAGUAUUCUAUUCUUCAUACUUUUACAUGCCGUAAAUCCCCACUUAUCUGCAGGGAAUGUGUUCCAAGACCCCCAGUGGAUGCCUGAAACUGAGAAUAGUACUGGACCCUGUAUAUACUGUGUUUUUUCUUUCCUUAUUGAGAACUUUUAUGUUUUCACUUAAAGGAAGGACUUUACAGCUUCUCUUUCGCAUAUCCAAAUUGCCAGCAUCACCGCUCUUGCACUCCAAGCCAUUAUUAAGUAAAGUAAAGAACACAAACACUGUGAUACUGCUACACUUGAUCUGAUAACCAAGAAGUCUACUAAGUGACUAACAGUUAAUAUUUUUGGACAUGAGGUGACUGCAGUUAACUAAAACCAUGGAAAGCAAACCCAUAGAUAAAGGGAUACUAUGGUAUGUUUUCAUUUUCUAUAAUAAAAAGUUAAAAAGGAAAAAGACACCAUAGGAAAAUAAAAGACAAGUCACAAACUGGGAAAAGAUCUUUGCAACACAUGUGACUAUCGAAAGGAUUAGUAUUCACACUGUGUAAAGAACCACUACAAUUCAAUGAAAAUGAAGAUAAUGCUUUCCACCCCAAACAGGCAAUUCAUACAGGAGAAAACCUGAAAAGAUACCCAACCACAAGGAAAUACCAUUUCACACCCACCAGAUGAACAAAAAUGUAAAAGUCUGGCAAUAUUACAAUUCUUAUACAUUGCUGGUUGGAGUAUGAAUUGAUAUAAUCAAUUUGGGAAACAAUAUGGUAUUAUCUAGUAGCUGAAGAUGCACAUCUUCUGUGACCCAGGAAAAAUGUAUAGCAGGAGACAUGAGCAAGAAAAUUCAUAAUGGCAUUUAUAACAGUAAAACGUGGAAGAAAAUCCACUGUCCAUCAACAGUAGAGUGAUUAAAUACAUUGUAUAUGCUCAUACAGCAGAAUAUAGUGGUGGAAAAAAUAAAUUACAAGUUCAUGGACAUAGAUAAAUCUCUAACAAAAUGUUGAGCAAAUAAAAAUUCACAAAAGAAUUUUACAGUAGGAUUCCAUUUAUAUAAAGAACCAAUGAAAGUAAAUAGCCUAAGGGUACAAACAUAAGUAAAUCUAUAAAUUAAAGCAAAAGAAUGAUAAGCACAAAUUCAAGGCAGUGAUUUCCUCUAGCUACAGAGGGAAGGGAAUGAAGUAAGGAAAAGGUGAACAAGGAGCUUAAAAGUAUGAUAAUUAUAUGUGUUGGUUUGGCCAAACAGUCCUGGUUUACCUAGCACAGUUCUGGUUUGCUGAUUGCCUGGUGUAAUGAUUAAUAGCACUGUCACUCCCCAAAUUGUCAUUGUUUGGAUAAUGAAUUAUAUGCAUCCUUUUUAGAGUAAAAGUAACUUUUUUCUCCUUAAACUGGAUGGAGGGCAUGUGGGUCUUUAUCAUUCUUCCUUAUACAUGUAUUUUUAAAAUAUAAUUUAAAACUAGUCAGUAUUUUAAAAUAUAAUUUAAAACUUUAGUCAGUGUUAGUCACUGUGUUAGUGACAACACAGUAAAAAAAAAAAAUUUGUAAGAUAAAUAAAUAUAAAUAGGAUCCAAAUGAAACUCUUUUCAUCUGGGUGGAUACAGGGAUAAAUAACAUACUAUAUGCCUGGCAUUGUAUUAAGCUUGUUACUGAUAUUACUUCAUAUUCAUAGCAAGACAUUUAGGUAGGCAUUAUUAUCUCCAUUUUACACAUGAAGAAUCUAAGACACAAAGACUAUACAUAAUUUAACCAAAGUCAUAUUAUAUGUGACAGCGCAGAAUUUGAACCCAAGCAGUGUGACAUCAGACUACAUGCUCUUAACUACCAUGCCAGAGCCCAUAACAGAUUUUCUUAACCUUUUUUAUGCCACAGAUCCCUUUGACAGUCUGGUGAAGCCUAUAGAGUCCUUUUUAGAGUAAUGUCUUUUGUACAUCAAAUAUAAUGCACAGGAUUAUAAAUAAAAUCAAUUAUACUAAAAUAUGGUAAUCAAAAUAUUUAACAAAUGUAUACUAUACCUGUACUUUUUAUUAAUGCAUUAAAUAAAUAAUAAAAUCUAGCAGGUCUAAUGAAUAAUUUUGAAAUAAUAAUAAUAAUUGUAUCUUGAGAUAUCUACAAAUAUAGUAAUGUGAUAGGAAAAUGUUUGUGAUUUUGAUAAGUGAAAAAGUCACCAAAAUACUUGUAAUAACACUGUGGUUUUUUGCAUAUGUUCACAAUGGAAAGAAAUCCUAAAUCUUACUUCGAAGUUAGCAAGAAUUACAAUAUUUUUCCCACCCCAAUUCAUGGCCCUCUACUUUAUGGUCUUAUUUCAUAGGCUUUCUGACAUGUUUUGCUUCAAAGAGGUCCUAUUCCCCAUCCCAUUUCCUAUCUUCUGGUUUGGGAUUACACUCAAGAUGUGAUAUACAGAUAGAUUAGUUUAUUAGAAAGAAAAUAUUUUUCCACAUGGCGAACUUUAGUGGAGGCUAACAAAUCAGAAUGUGCUAAAAUAGCCAUGUGUACAUAUAGACAAUGGGAAGCUUGGAACUGCUUUAGCAUUUUAUACAAAAGACUUAAAAGUAAUUUCAGCUGGGCACUGUGGCUCGGGCCUGUAAUCCCAGCACUUUGGGAGGCUAAAGUGAGAGGAUUGCUUGAGGCCAGGAGUUCAAGACCAGCCUGGGCAACAUAGUGAGACCCUCCCCCCAUCUGUACAAAAAAAUUACAAAAUUAACCAGGCAUUGUGGCUCGCACCUGUGGUACCAGCUACUUGGAAGGCUGAGACAGGAGGAUGGCUUGAGCCUGGGAGGUUGAGGCUUUAAUGAGCCAUGAUCAUGCCACUGCACUCCAGCUUGGGCAACAGAGUGAGACCCUGUUUCCAAAAACAACAAAAACUGGUUUCAAAUAUAUUGCUACAUUGGAAUUCUCCAUAAAGGAAUUAAUUGUUGAUAACAAUGCCCUCAGUAUACUAUUUGUCAAUACCUAUAACAAUGCAACAAACAAAAAAGAAAAUUUAAAUAGCUGGACCACAUUAAAAGUUUUAUUGGGCUAAAAUCAAAAACAUCUGACAAGUUUUUGACUUGUCUUUCUCAUGAUUUAAUGUCCCAGCAGAGCAACUGGGAACCUAAUUCUGACCAAAAAGGAGGAAUUGUUUGGCUAAUUGGAAGUGACAGAAACCUUGGGAGAAAGCAACCGCAUACCAAGGAUAAUUAUAAGAAGGUAACAUGGGCCCUAAAGGAUAGUGUCAAGAAACCUGAAACCCCCAAAUGAGGUGAGACUUGCAAAAAAUGCUAAGGAAGGACAAAAAACAGGCCUUUUAAAAUUCUGUUCAGAACCAGAAGAUGAUCAAGAAAGGGAAAUGCCCACUAGCAGCUUCUACUGUAAGGUUAGAGCUGACAGAGAAAGAACUCCUUAACUACUAUUUGCUUCAUUCUCUACAAAGGAAACUAGAGAAGUGGGUUGAUGUAAUAGAAAGAACAUGUGUUUGUGGGGCCAGGCAAACCUGGGUUUAAUUCUGUUUCAACACUGCUUAACAAAAUUUAUGGGAGGCUAUUGUUUUGGAUUGGGCUCCUGCACCAGGCCCCUCCGGACCAAACCAAAAUGGAGUCACUCAUACUAAAACUCCAGGUCACUGAACCAAAACUAAGUUGUUUAUCUGACCUUCCAAGAAAUCAGGAGGGAGAAAACAACCAAAUCUCCAAACAGGCCAGUUUUAAUCAGCGUGAUAAGGAAGUCCUCUCUUUUUUAACCCUAUAAAGAAAGUAACUUUUUGAAAUGAUCAAUACACUUUGUAUUCCUUAGUUCUGCUUUCUUUAGCCCCUUUCUGCCUAUAAAGCCCACUUCCUCUGCUCAACUUACUGAAGCAGUAUUCCAUUUUAUAGAAUGAGAUGCUGCCCAAUUCUGGAAUCACUAAUAAAAGCCAAUUAGAUCUUUACAUUUGUUGAAAUUUUGUCUUUGACAACAUUACUAGUUAUAUUAUUCUGGGUAUCCUUUUCCCCAUCUGUAAAAUGGACAUAGCGAUAUCCUUCCCAUCAGAUUUUUCUCAUUAAUAGAAGUAAUACAUUCAAAACACUGAGCCAGGCUCACACCAGUGAGCAACUUGUUAAUAUUACUCAGAAGCAUAUUAUAGAUAUUGACAGAAAGCAAUACUGUUCCUAAUUAGGGGAAGAAAUUCUAAGAGAGUACCUAAGAGUUUGAAUUUAGAUUAUAACAUUUGCUCUGAGUAUUUUACAUUACAGCCUUUGGGGGGAAAAGUACAAAUGAGAUCUGAGAACAGUGGUACUCAUCUUUGAGGAAUUAUGGAAAACGUAAUAGAACACUAAACAUGGGAAAACAUCGGCCUUCAGGUUGAAAAGUGGAAAUCUCAAUCCCUGAAUUUUUUUUUUUUUUUUACUAAGUAACUUUUUUGCCCAUUGGUGUCAUUUAACCAAAAGAAGAAGAAAUUCCAAAAAAAAAAAAAAUCAACUGAAACAAAAGAAUAGACUGAAUUUGCCAAAAGAGUGCUUAAAUGGAGACCUAAGUCUUCAAAGCUAAGGUGAUGAGAAAAGAACAGGUCUUAAAUUUCUUCAGAGCUUCAAGAGGCAAAGCUUGAAAGAAGAAAAAAUUUUAUUCUUAGGUAAGAUGUAGGGGUAGAAUGGUGGCCCCUGCAAAAGGUAAGCCUUCCUCCUAAUCCUAGAAUCGUGGAUGGUACCUUAUUUGGAUAAAAAGGUCUUUGCAGAUGUAAUUAAGAACCUUGAGAUGAGGAGAUCAUCCUGGAUUAUCUGGUGGACUGUAAAGUCAAUGACAUGUAUUCAUAUAUGACAGAAGAGAAGACAUGGAGAAGAGGAGGGAGUAGUUGUGACCGUGGAGGCAGAGAAUGGAGUAAUGUGAUCAUAAAUCAAGGAAUGCUGACAGCCACUAAAGCUGGAGAAGGCCAAGGACAGAUAUUCAAUCCUCCCGUAGAAGUACAGCCCUGCUAAUGCAUUGAUUUUGGACUUCUGGCCUCAGAACUGUCUGGAAAGCAUGGAAAUUUGUAUCUUCAUUCACUUUUGUUUUCAUGGACUCUUUUCAUGUUUGAACUUUUCAUGGUAUGAGCUGUUUUAUAAUCUAUAAUAUGGAAUGUUUCUCAUACGAAUGUUUUUCUUAUUGAAGAAUGCCAUAGAAAUAAGGGUGUGAGGUAUACUUACUUGACAGGAGAAUUUUACUCCUUUUAUUUUAUUUACUUAUUUAUUUUUAAGACGGAGUCCUGCUGUGUUGUCCAGGCUGGUCUUGAACCCCUGGACUCAAACGAUCUUUCUCCUUGGCCUCCCAAAGUUCUGGGAUUACAGGUAUGAGCUACAGUGCCCUGAGAGUCCUUUUUAAAGUAGUGAAUGCUCAAACAUGGAAUUAAAUUUAGGCAAAGCUCACUUUUAUUUAUACAUAAAACAACUUCAGCCAUGUACCUCAUAACGAUAUUUUGGCCAAUGUCUGACCUUAUAUACAAUGGUUGUCCUGUACGAUUAUAAUGAAGCUGAAAAUUUUCUAUUGCCUAGUAACAUUGUAGUAAUUGUAAUGUAGCACAACCUAUCACACGUGUUUGUAGUGAUGCUGGUGUAAACAAACCGACUGCAUUGCCAGUCUAGUAUAAAAGUCUAGCACACACAAUUAUCCACAGUAUAUAAUAGUUGAUAAUGAUAAUAAACAACUGUCACUGGCUUAUAUAUUUGCUAUACUAUACUUUUUAUCAUUAUUUUAGAGUAUAUUUAGAGUAUAUUAAGCAGCCUUAGGCAGGUCUUUCAGGAGGCAUUCCAGAAGAAGGCAUUGUUAUCAUAGGAGGUGACAGCUCCCUGUGUGUUGUUGCCCCUGAAGAACUUCCAGUGGGACAAGAUAUGGUGGUGAAAGACAGUGAUAUUGAUGAUCUUGACCCUGUGUAGGCUUAGGCUCAUGUGUUUGUGUCUUCAUUCUUUUUUUUUUUUUGAGAUGGGGUCUCGCACUGUUGCCCAGGCUGGAGUGCAGUGGCGCGACCUUGGCUCACUGCAAGCUCCGCCUCCUGGGUUGAUGCCAUUCUCCUGCCUCAGCCUCCCAAGUAGCUGGGACUACAGGUGCCCACCACUACGCCUGACUAAUUUUUUGUACUUUUAGUAGAGACGGGGUUUCACCAUGUUAGCCAGGAUGGUCUUGAUCUCCUGACCUCGUGAUCCGCCCGCCUCGGCCUCCCAAAGUGCUGGGAUUACAGUAUUUAAGACAUUUUUAUAAAUUAAAAAUUUUUUAAAUAGAAAAAAGCCUAUAGCAUAAGGAUAUAAAGAAAAAGUAUUUUUAUGCAGCUGCACAAUGUAUUUGUGUUUUAAACUGUGUUAUUAUGCAAGAGUUACAGAGUUUUUAAAAAUAAAAAGUUUAUAAAGUAAAAAACUUACAACACAUCAAAAGAUAAUACACCAUGAUCAAGUGGGCUUUAUCCCAGGGAUGCAAGCAUAGUUCAACAUAUGCAAAUUAAUAAGUGAUAUCAACAGAAUGAAGGACAAAAGCUUUAUGAUCAUCUUAACAGAUACAGAAAAGCAUUUGAUAAAAUUUAACUUCCUUCAUGAUAAAAACUCUCGAAGGAACAUACCUCAGCAUAUUAAGGGCCAUAUAUGGUUAACCCAGAGCUAAAAUCAUACUGAACAGGGAAAAGCUGAAAGCCUUCCUGCAAAGAACUGGAACAAGACAAGGAUGACCACUUGCACCACUCUUAUUCAACAUGGUACUGGAAGUCCUAGCCAGAGCAAUCAGGCAAGAGAAAGAAUUAAAAGACAUCCAGUUGGAAAAAAGGAGGUCAUAUAUUUUCUCUGCAGACAACAUAAUCUUAUAUCUAGAAAAACCUGAAGACUCCACCAAAAAGGGUGAGCAUGGUGACUCAUGCCUGUAAUCUCAGCACUUUGAGAGGCUGAGGCAGGAGGAUCACUUGAGCCCAGGGGUUCAAGACCAGCCUGGACAACAUAGUGAGACCCCAAUCUCUAAAAAAAGUUAAAAACUUUAGCCAGGUGUGGUGGCACAUGCCUGUUGUCCUAGCUGCUUGUGAGCCUGGGGUGGGAGGAUCACUUGAGCCCUGGAGUUUAAGGCUGCAGUGAGCAAUGAUCAUGCCACUGCACUGUAGCCUGGGUUGUGACAGCGCAAGACACUGUUAAUAAACAAGACAAAACAGACUCCAUCAAAAAGCUCUUAGAGCUGAUAAACAAAUUCAGUAAAGUUUCAGGAUCCAAAACCAACAUGCAAAAAUCAGUAGUGUUUCUAUACGCCAAUAACAAACAAGCUGAAAAAUACAUUAAGAAAGCAAUUCCAUUUACAAUAGCUACAAAAAAAAAAACUUAGAAAUAAAUGUAACCAAGGCGGUAAAAGACCUCUAUGCCAUAAACGACAGAACAUUGAUGAAAGAAAUUGAAAAGGACACAAAUAGAUAUCCCAUGUUCAUGGAUAGAAAUAAUUAAUAUUGUUAAAAUGACCAUACUACUGAAAGUAAUCUACAGAUUCAAUGCAGUCCCUAUCAAAACACCAAUAAAAUUACUCACAGAAAUAGAAAAAAAAAUCCUAAAAUUUGUGUGGAACAACAAAGGCCCUAGGUAGCCAAAGCAUUCCUGAGCAAAAAUUAUAAAGUGAGAGGCAUUGCCCAACCAGACUUCAAAAUAUACUACUAAGCUAAGUAACCCAAACAACAUGUUACUGGUAUAAAAACAGACACAUAUACCAAUGGAACAGAAUAGAGAACCCAAGAAUAAUCUAUCUAUUUAUAGCCAACUGAUUUUUUGUGAACAUGCCAAGAAUAUACAUUGGGGAAAGGAUAUUCUCUUUAAUAAAUCAUGUUGGGAAAAUUGGAUAUCCGUAUACAGAAGAAUGACACUAAACUCCUAUCUCUCACCAUAUACAAAUAUCAAUUCAAAAUGAAUUUAAAAACUUAAAUAUGAGACUCCAAACUGUAAAACUACUAAAAGAAAACACAGAAGAAACACUUCAGGACAUUGGUCUACAUUGGUCUAGCCAAAGAUUUUAUGUCUAAGACUUCAAAAGCAUAGGCAACAGAAACAAAAAUAAAUAAAUGGGAUUAUAUGAAACUAAAAAACUUCUGCACAGCAAAGGAAACAAUCAACAGAGUGAAGAGAUGACUUGUAGAGUGACAGAAAGUAUUUGCAAACUAUUAAUCUGAUAAGGGACUAAUAUCCAGAAUAUACAAGAAACUCAACAGGAAAAAAAAAGUCCCAUUAAAAAGUGGGCGAAGGAUCUGAAUAGAUAUUUCUCGAAAGAAAACAAGCAAACGGCCAACAAAUACAUGAAAAAAUGCCCAACAUCACUAAUCAUCAGGGAAAUGCAGAUCAAAACCACAGUGAGAUAUCAUCUCACCCCAGUUAGAAUGGCUAUUAUCAAAAAGGCAAAAAAUAGGUGUGGUGGCAUGUGUCUGUGAUCCCAGCUACUCAGGAGGUUGGGGCCAGGAAUUUAAGCUGCAGUGCGCUAUGAUCACACCUGUGAUCACUGCACUCUAGCCUGGGCAACAUAAUGAGAACCCAUCUCUAAAAAAAUACUAAUAAUUAAACAUUUUUAAGAAGACAAGAAAUAAAUGCUGACCAGGAUUCAGAGAAAAAGAAACAUACGCUGUUGGUGAGAAUGUAAAUUAGUACAGCUAUUGGCCAGGUGCAGUGGCUUACGCCUGUAAUCCCAGCACUUUGGGAGGCCAAGGUGGGCAGAUCACUUGAGGCCAGGAGUUCAAGACUUGCCUGGCCAUCUCUACUAAAAAUACAAAAAUUAGCCAGGCAUGAUGGGACACACCUGUAAUCCCAGCUACUUGGGAGGCUGACGUGGGAGAAUCAUCUGAGCUUGAGAGGUGGAGAUUGCAGUGAGCCGAGAUCAUGCCUCUGCACUCCAGCCUGGGUGACAGAGUGAGACUCCAUCUCAAAACACACACACACACACAAAAAAAAAACAAUACAGCCAUUAUGGAAAACAGUAUGGAGGUUUCUCAAAAACUGAAAAUACAACUUCCGUAUGAUCCAGCAAUCCCACUACUGGGUAUUUAUCUCCCCAGAAGGGAAAUCAGUAUAUCAAAGAGACAUCUUCACUCCAUUGUUUAUUGCAGCACUAUUCACAAUAGUCAAGGUAUGAAAUCAAACUAAGCAUCCCUCAACAGAUGGAUAAAGAAAAUGUGCUAUAUAUACACAAUGGAAUACUAUUCUGCAACAAAAAGGGAAUAAAAUCCUAUCAUUGUAGCAAUAUGGACAGAACUGGAGGUCAUUAUGUUAAGUGCGAUUAGCCAGGUACAGAAAGACAAAUAUUGCAUGAUCUCACUCAUGUGGGAGCUAAGAAAGUUGAUCUCAUGGAGGUAGAGAGUAGAAAAAAAGUUGAGAUUAGGAAGGGUGUGGUGGAGUGAGUAAAGUGAGGUUGGUUAAAGGGUAGAAACACAGAAAGAAGGGAUAAGUUCUAAUGUUUAAUAGCAUGUAGGAUGGCUAUAGUUAACAAUAAUUUAUUGUAUAUUUAAAAAUAGCUGCAAGAGAAUAUUUGAAAUGUUCACAACACAAAGAAAUAAUAAAUGUUUGAGGUAAUGGAUAUCCUAAAUACAUUGAUUUGAUCCUUACACAUUGUAUGCAUGUACCCCAGAAAUAUGUAUAUUUAUUAGAUAUCAAUAGUUUUUUAAAAGUUAAAAAGGAACAAAACCAUGAAAAAUUUAUAGUAAGCUAAGAUUAAUUUAUUAUUUAAGAAAUAUUUUUAAAAAUACAUUUGGGGUAGCCUAAGUGUACAGUGUUUAUAAAGUCUACAGUACUAGACAGUAAUGUCCUCAGCCUUCACAUUCACUCACCACUCACUCACUGACUCACCCAGAACAACUUCCAGUACUGCAAGCUCUGUUCAUGGAAGUGCCCUAGACAGGUGUACCAUUUUUAAUCUUUUAUACUGUAUUUUUACUGUAUCUUUUCUGUGUUUAGAUACCAAAGUACUUCCCAUUGUGUUACAAUUGCUUAGAGCAUUCAGUACAGUAACAUGCUAUGUUUAUAAUCUAAGAGUAAUCAGCUAUACUGUACAGUCUAGGUGUGUAGUAGGCAAUACCAUCUAGGCUUGUGUAAGUAUAUUCUAUGAUUUUCAUACAACAAAAUCACCUAAUGAUGCAUUUCUCAGAACUUAUUCUUGUCUGUUAAGCAACAUGUGACUGUGUUUUAUUCUUAUUUUUAAAUUUUACAUCAUCUUUUCAAGGAAACCUCUGGAAAAAAAAAUUAUACCAAAAUUUUCACUGCCCACUCAAAGUGGUCUAUUUUUACUGUUUAUCUUACAACUGAAGAGACUAUCCAUGCCUUGCUAAAUUCUACUUUAGCUGCUGAGUCUGUCUAUAUACUUAAUAAAUUUACUGUCAUUCAAAUUACAUAAUAAACAUAGGAGCUUACAAUUACUUUUCUAGGAUAAAAUCUAUGCAGGAAGUUUGUCUCAAGAGAGGAAUUUUUGCUGGGUGGCACAUGUCUGUAAUCCCAGCACUUUGGGAGGCUGAGAUGGGAGGCUCACUUGAGCCCAGGUGUUCAAGAUCAGCCUAGGCAACAUUGUGAGACUCCAUAUCUAAAAAAAAAAAUUUUUUUUAAUAACUGGGUGUGGUGGCAUGCACCUGUAGUUCCAGCUACAAGGGAGGCUGAGGUGGGAAGAUUGCUUGAGCUCAGGAGGUCGAGGUUGUAGUGAUCUGUGAUCAUACUGCUGCACUCCAGUUUGGGUGACAGAGUGAGACCCUAUCUCAAAAACAACAUAAAAAGUGGAUUUUUAAUAAGAUAAUCCUUAUGGAUACUAAAAUAUUAGCUUUCUUUGGGAAGUAUAACUUCUGUCAAUGAGAUUACCAAUAUUUGCCAAUAUUUUCAGUCUUCCUGUCUUUUCUGGAUAUGUAAAAUUCUACAUUUCUUAGUUCUGCAAGUUGAGCAGGGCCAUGUGACUAUAUCUACCAAUGGACAGUGACCAAAGGUGAUAUGUAUCACUUCCAUGCCAAAGCAUGUAAGAGUCAGUGUAUGAUUUGCCCAUCCAUACUGUCUUUUCUGGAACAAAGAGCCCUGAGAUAUCACAUUGAAAUGGAGACACCAGGAAAAGGGAGCAAUCUGGAAUGUUGAGUCACUAUGUGAAGGGCUGACAUGGAGAAACUCCUGCACUCUUGGCAGAUUUGCCUGAGUAAGAAACUGUCAUGUGAUAGGACUCUCAGAUUUUUGUUUAGUUUAUAACUAUCAGCAUUAUUCCCUAGCCUAUCCUGACAAACAGAAUCUGUACCUAACUUGGUUUGUUGUGUUAAAAGUUUUCAUGGCCUUUUGUGCUCCCAUACAUUAGAUGAACAGUUGUAUAUACAUUUUCAAAUUUUCCAGUAAGGAAGUAUUUAAUAUGAUAAACAUUUCAAUUAAUAAUUUGUUCUAUUAGUCUCUAGUACCAACUUAAGAUGUCAAAUUUCUAAUCUAAAUGAACAAUACUUUUAAUUACAUAUAUAACUUUAUCUCAUACUUAUACCCUGUGUUAAUCAUUACCAAACAAUAGAAAGGGUACAUUUUUGUUGUUGUUGUUGUUGUUAUUGUUGUUGUUUUGUUGUUGUUGUUUUGAGAUGGAGUUUCAUUCUUGUCAACCAGGCUGGAGCACAAUGCCACGAUCUCAGCUCACUGAAACCUCCACCUCCUGUGUUCAAGCGAUUCUCCCAUCUCAGCCUCCCAAGUAGCUGGGAUUACAGGCACGCACCAUCACGCCUGGCUAAUUUUUGUAUUUUUAGUAGAGAUGGGGUUUCACCAUGUUGGCCAGGCUGGUCUCGAACUCCUGACCUCAGGUGAUUCAUCCAUCUCAGCCUCCCAAAGUGCUGGGAUUACAGGCGUGAGCCACUGCGCUGGGCCAGGUACAUUUGUGUAUGCAGUCUUCUUUUUAAAUAUUUUUAAAAAUAUUAUUUUAAAAAAUAUUUUGUAGAGACAAGCUUUCACUAUGUUUCCCAGGCUGGUCUCGAACUUCUGGCCUCAAGCGAUUCUUUUGCCUCAGCCUCCAAAACUACUGGGAUUACAGCAUGAGCCAUCAUGCCCAGCUAUACAGCCUUCUAAUUUACUAAAUAACGUUGAUGUGCUUGAUCAUGUUCCCUGGAAAACAGACCCUGAGAAGGAGAUUUGCAUGCAGGAAUAUUUAUUCGAGAAUGCUCUUAGAAUCAACACUGGUGAAAUGCAGGAUUGAGUAGAGGGAGAAGUUCACUGUGAUGUACUUACAAUAAAGCCUAAGCUGACCCUAGGAUGGCUCUAAAGCUAGAGUGGCACUUUAGAGGCAUCCCAAAUGAAGGCAGGGGGUUGAACCUCUGUAUGUACAUCAAUGGCCACUCAUUUAUCUAAUGGCUGACUCCUGGAGAUGAGUGUGACCUUGAGUAAGGCUGAGAGCAAUUCCUGUAUGGAGCUGAUAUUUUGAGAGCUGUCAGCCAACGUCAUUCCCAGAAGCUGAGCAAAGAAUUCUUUCAGCCCUGAAAAGGAAUCUGGGUAGUAUAGCUGUGUUCAAUACAACUGAUAAUCAUAAAGGGACAUGUAUCUAUCUGAAGUUGUUAGAUGAUCACCAACACCACCACCACCACCAUCAUCAUUGUCAUCAUCAUCACAUUUACACUGAUAACUUUAGUAUGUGCCAGGCACUUGUCCUAAGUGCUUCGAAAUAAUAUAUUAACUUGUGUAAUUCUCAUGUUAACCCUAUAAUAUAAUCUUAAAUUCUUUGUCCUCAAAAAUAAAAAUCAAUAUAAGUGCUUUUUCUGUAACACAUUCCAAUCCAGAAUGCUUUACUAAUGACCAUUCAGUAAUUUCCAUUGUAUGUUAUUUUAUCCAUCAUGAACAGCCCCAUUUGGUGAUAGUCAUUGGCCAAGAUAGUUACUUUUGCUCAUGGGUUGCAUCUUCUAAAUAAUGGAUGGUAUUAUGAUGUCUGUAAUUUACUUUCAAAUAAAUGAUCACAGAUAAUAUGAUACUGUGUGGAUAUAUGUGUGUGUGUGAUAUUAUGUGUGUUAAUUUAGGCUAUAAGUGCACUUGUUUGCCAUAAUUAAGAAGUCACAUUCCCAUGUAUGGUCAGAAAGUAUUUAAUCAAAAGGCCGCACUCCAGAGGAAGCUAUGUCAAGUGCUCAAGUCGUACUUAUCUUGAACAACGCUAUAAUUUUUCUAAUUAGUAUAUUGAAUAUAAGCAAUGUGGCAAUGUGUUUUCACUGGUGAAAUUAGUGUUGUUCAAAGUGUGUGCAUUGGCUAAUAUAUUUUAGACAUUCUGCCUUUGCAAAAUGGGUUGUAAAAAUCUAGUAAGCAUCAUAAUCUUUAUCCUUAGGAAUGGCAUCCAAGGUUUGAUUUCUAAAAUGUCCCUUAUCUAGCUAUUGAUUCCAUGGAUUCUGGUUGCCUAAAUCCUGCCUCAAUAUUGCCGCGUUUGCCUUAAAUGAACUUUCAUACAUGUGGUAGUCAUAUAUGAUAGCCAGCCUCCAAGUUGGCCGUCAAUGACCUGACACCAAUGAUCCUUAGUGUUCAUCUCUUUUUAUAGUCUCUUCCCAUAUCAAAUAGAGCUGGUCUGUGUAACCAAUAAGAUAUUCUGGAAACGUGAAGAUUAAUUCGUCAGUAAUGUGAGUGAGCCAUCUUGGAAGCAGACCAUCCAGUCCCAGUUAAGCCUUAGGUAACAACAGCCCUGGCCAACAUCUUGAUUCAUGAGAGACCCUGAACCAAAACUAUCCAGCCAACCUACUCUCAAAUCCCUGACCUACAGAAACUCUGAUAUAAUAAAUAUUUAUUGUUGUUUCAAGUCACUAAAUUUUGGGGUAAAUUGUUGUGCAUCAUGGAUAACUAAUACAUGAAAGAGAGAAUUGGAUGUUAAUUGAGUUUAUUGAAGAGAUUAUAUGAAUUGUUGUGUGUAUGACUCCCUGUCAAUAACUGUUUAUUUUAAUUUUUUGAGAUGGAGUCUCACUCUGUCUCCCAGGCUGGAGUGCAGUGGCAUGAUCUUGGCUCACGGCAGCCUCCGCCUCGCAGGUUCAAGCGAUUCUCUGCCUCAUCCUCCUGAGUAGCUGGAAUUACAGGCGUGUGCCAGGACGUCCAGCUAAUUUUUGUGUUUUUUCAGAGACAGGGUUAUGUCAUGUUGGCCAGGCUGGUCUUGAACUCCUGGCCUCAAGUGAUCUGCCCACCUCAGCCUCCCAAAGUGCUGGGAUUAUAGGCAUGAGCCACCACAUUCAGCCAUAGUUUUUUAAUGUUUGUGUGUACAACAGAAUUUGGCCCAAGACUUGCUUUAUUGUAACUUAGUAGCCAACCCUUUCACUCAACAGUUGGUGACUACCUUUAUCUGUCAAAAAGAACAAAAUAGUUGUGUGUGACCAAACUUGCUUAGAUCGUUUUGCAAGAGAGCCAUAUUAAUUUUUCUAUGAUAAAAAAAUCAAGCCUAUGAUGGCUUGAUUCAAUCCACUUCUCUUUAUCACCCUGUUCACUCCAGUCCAGUCAUCUGUCACUUGGUCUAUUACAAUAACCUUUUAACUCAUUUAUGCAUAUUCAUUGGUCUUUUUCCAUCCCAUCAUCAACAUUAAAGUUAGAGUAGGCUUUUAAAAAUACAAGGCUAUUUAUGUAAUUUCCCCCAUUUAAAAUCUUUCAGUGCUCGGGCUGGUCAUGGUGGCUCACACCUGUAAUCCCAGCACUUUGGGAGGCUAAGGCAGGAGGAUCACCUGAGCCCAGGAAUUUGAGACCAGCCUGGGCAACACAGUGACUGAUCUCAUCUCUAAAAAAUAAAAGAUUUAGCUGAGGGUGGUGGCACAGCCCUAGCUACUAGGGAGGUUGAGGUGGAAGGAUUGCUUGAGCCCAGUAGUUCGAAGCUGCAGUGAGCCAUGAUCAUGCCACUACACUCCAACCUGGGUGACAGAGUGAGAUUCUAUCUCUAAAAAAUUAAGAGUAAAAAUAAUAAAAUAAUAUAAAAUCUUUCAGUGCUUGAAAAAAUAAGGCAAAGACAUAAGUUAACAUGACCUAUAAAACCUUUCCAUCCUUGUCUUGCACUCUUCUUUCUCUUACACUCUGUGACCCCACCUCACACUGGCCUUUUUUCAAUUACUAGUACUCUUUCUAUUCCCACUUACCACAGAGAAUUUGUACAUGGUGUUUCUUCUGCCUUGAAAUCUCUUCUGUUUCCUCUUUGUCUAGUUUAAGGCUGCCUAUCUUUCAUAUCUAGUGCAUAUGUGAGUCCCUCAGCAAAACUUUCCCUAAUCUCCCUGAUUGAUUCUCAUAGCAUCAUACAUCCCUCCUUUGUGUGCCAGGAACAUUGCAAUUUUACAUUUGUUUGUGUAACUAUUUGAUUAAUGUUCAUGUUGACUGCUAGUACAUUCUAUGAAAGUAGGUACCAUAUCUGAUAUCACUCACUCAUGUAUGCCUUGGGGUCUACCACGGUGCUGAAAAUGUGGUGCAUAUUUGAUAAAUAUUUGACGAAUAUAUGAAUAACUGAUUGACUAAUUUAAUGAGUUCAGGUGGCUACUAAUGUCGCUUCAGAGUGAGAGUGCCUAGUUUCAAAUUUUGGCAGUUCCUAACUGCAAUGUUAGGGACGAUUUUAUCUCAUUUUUCCUUCGAUUUGUUCUCUGUAAAUUGGGAAUAAUAAUUACCUUAUAGAGUUUUGAAAGGAUUAAAUGAGCUAGUAUACAUUAAAGACUUAAAGCAGUCCUUAACACAGCAAGUACUUUAUGCAUAUAUGAUAGCUACAAGUAUGAUUAUUAACAUCCUUAGUCAAUCUGUCAUACUAGUUCCUUAGGCCAUGGCCACCAGUUCCUUGGGUAAAUUCAUUCUUUACUUGUAGAUGCCAAAUUUCAACUGUCUGUGUAAGAAACAAGAAGCUAUGUCAAAGACAAAAAUUGAGGAUGGAAGCAUAUAAUUAUUAUUAGGUGGUGCAAUUUUGACUUAGGUAUAGGGAUGCUAAUGUUAGCCCCACAUCACUGAUAUUUAUUUGAUAUUUACUAUUUAUACAAAGAGACCAAAGGAGCAGAUUUUGUAUUUAAUGAGGGAGAGCCUCAAAGAGUUCUAUACCUACCUUUUAGUAAUGCAUCGCAAAGAGUUGAGUCCACCAUCUCUCCAUAAGUUUUUGCUUUGGCUAUUAAUUUUUGGGAUUCCCUUAUUAAUCUUUAUUUGAGCCUCAAACAAUGGUAAAAUAUUAACAUCAUAUAAAAUGCUAUUGCUCUCUUUGGGCUAUAGACCUUCCACACUAAGGCCCUGACUUUAAAAUGCUAAAGCAAUAGGUUUAUAACUUUUGAAUAUUAUAUGUUAGAAACUAUUGAGAUGAUAUUCAUUCUUAUUAAACAGUAGAAAUGUUCUUCAUGCUCAGUGCAAAGGCAGCAAUGGUUGGAUUUAUUUAGUUACUAAUGCUUUUUACAGAAGUCGUGAAUGUUAGCAUUUUAUUAUAUUCAGGGUCUCCACUUACAGACAUGUCCAUUGUAAGCUGCCAUUGAUUUAGGCAAUAGGUCAUAAACUGAAGAGUUGUUUUUGGUUAAGUGUUACCAGUGAUGCAUUCUGUUCUUUGUUUACUACCAACCACGCAAAACAAUACUUUGUACUUUGCAAAGAAACUGAGAUCACCCAGUCCUUGCAACUUAGGUCAUUUCAGUCUGGGUGAAAAAAAAAACUCUUUUCAACUCUUUGCCAGUUCCUCCUGGCUUUUUGAGAAGGAGAUACCUCUGAAAGAAAAUAGAUCAAAGUUACAUGAGACUAAGGGCAGAUCAUAUAGCUAUACUUUGUAGUCUGUUGAAAACAGAACUAGCUUUACUGGAAAAGAGAUCUACUGUUGUAGCUAUAAGGGGCAGAGGGAAGGUUAGAGGGAAGGUUACUAACCUAAAAAUCCAACCACCAUCCCUCUACUAGUUUGUCAGACUUUAAUAUUCCACCAUCAGAAAUUCAUUUUAAAACAUAAUUUAAAAGAUUUUAAAAGAUAAUUCCUUAAAGCAGUCACCUGUGGAAAAAAGUGAAUUCUCUAUCAAAUCCUUUUCCUGAAAGUGAAUUUCCUGAAAGCACUAAGACUGAGAGGUAACACUGGCUCCUGAAGUUCGGAUUUGACUGUAGGGGUGCUGUGGAGAGGAAAGGUUGGAAGAGCACAGACUGCUUUUGAAGAGAGGCUAGCAGGAAAUCUCUGGCCAUGGAAAACAGUGAUUUCAAUGUGUAAAGACUAUGAGGAAAAAGAGAAAAAGAAGUGGAUUUUUUUUUAAUUUGCUGUUCUGGACGUCUGUAAUAGAAGAAAGGAAACAUGUUACCUCUGCUGAGAUAAAGUGAAGGGACACUCAGACAAGAUUGGAGGGUCAUUAUCUUUUCAUACCUAGAAUGUGAGAACAACUUCACUUCCCUAAAUAUUCUGGUCUUUAGUUUUUGUCUGAUUAUUAUUAUGCCAAAUUCAUUCCUAUUUAUAAAGUGAUUAGUAUAUACAAAGCCCCUUGAAAGUAAUAAAAAAAAUUUUUAAGUUUUUGGUUUUGGGGGAGCUUUCCAUGUGUACUCUCUCCUAGUAAUUCUUUCAUCAAUAUACAAAUCAUUUACCUGUUAAACUAGACAUAAUAGAUUAAGGGUCUCUCCAUGAUAAGUGAGGAAACACAGGUCACUUUGUCUUGUAGUAAGGAACCAAGGAAAGUAAAGAUGGGAUGAAUAGACAAGGAAGGAGGCUGGUACAGAUUUAUAAGUUUAGUUUUUAUUAUGUCCUUGGUAUUUGCCAGUUGGACUAGAAAGGAAAAGCUAUAUAUGAAAAAAAAAAACUAUCACCUUAUGCUAAGCAAAGGAAUUUUGUGGCAGAAUGAAAAUUUGCUAAUGGGUAUAGGGGAUAUAGAAAUGGGAGGAACAGAGUGGUUGUACCCAUUUAAACCCCACCAACAAUGUAUAGAAGUAGUAGUGCUGAUUUUGAAAGUAUGUAAUGGAAUCUGAGUAUGGUUUUAAUUGUCAGUUCCCUGAUGAAUAAUGAUAUUGAAUUCUUUUUAAUUUGCUUGUUGUCUGUUUAAAUAUCUACAUUUAUGAAAGGCCUACUUGAAUCUUUUGUUCAUUUCUUAAAACAUUGAGUUGUCUUUCUCUUACUGAUUUGUAGUCAAGUUUUAUAUAUUUUGGGUACAAGUCAUAUGUCAAUAGUUGUUUUACAUUUUUCUUCUCCUAAUCUGUAGAUCAUUGCUCACUCUCUUAAUGAUAUGUUUCAAUGAACAGAAGUUUUUAAUUUUAAUGAAGUCUGUUUGAUCAAACUCUUCUUUCAUGGUCAGUGCUUUUUGUAUUUAAGAAAACAUUACCAGGGGGUAUUCCAAGAUGGCCAAAUAGGAACAGCUCUAGUCUGCAGCUCCCAGCGUGAUUGACGCAGAAGACAAGUGAUUUCUGCAUUUCUAACUGAGGUAUCUGGUUCAUCUCAUUGGGACUGGUUGGACAGUGGGUGCAGCCCACGGAGAGUGAGCUGAAGCAGGACAGGGCAUCACCUCACCUGGGAAGUGCAAGGGGUCGGGAAUUUCUCUUUCCUAGCCAAGGGAAGCCAUGACAGACUACCUGGAAAAACGGGACACUCUCCGCCCAAAUACUGCACUUUUCCCAAAGUCUUAGCAACCAGCAGACAAGGUGAUUCUCUCCUGUGCCUGGCUCAGUGGGUCCCAGGCCCAUGGAGUCUUGCUCACUGCUAGCGCAGCAGUCUGAGAUCGAUCUUUGAGGUAGCAGCCUGGCCGGGGGAGGGGUGCCUGCCAUUGCUGAGGCUUGAGUAGGUAAACAAAGUGGCUGGGAAGCUCGAACUGGUUGGAGCCCACCGCAGCAAGGCCUACUGCCUCUAGACUCCACUUCUGUGGGCAGGGCAUAGCUGAACAAAAGGCAGCAGACAACUUCUGUAGGCUUAAACAUCCCUGUCUGACAGCCCUGAAGAGAGCAGUGGUUCUUCCAGCACGGCGUUUGAGCUCUGAGAACCGACAGACUGCUUCCUCAAGUGGAUCCCUGACCCCUGUGUAGCCUAACUGGGAGACACCUCCCAGUAGGGGCUUACCUCAUAUAGGCGGCUGCCCUUCUGGGAUGAAGCUUCCAGAGGAAGGAUUAGGCAGCAAUAUUUGCUGUUCUGCAGUAUUUACUAUUCUGCAUCCUCCGCUGGUGAUAACCAGGCAAACAGGGUCUGGAGUGGAACUCCAACAAACUCCAGCAGACCUGCUGCUGAGGGACCUGACUGUUAGAACGAAAACUAACAAACAGAAAGGAAUAGCAUCAACAUCAACAAAAAGGUCAUCUACACCAAAACUCCAUCUGUAGGUCACCAACAUCAAAGACCAAAGGUAGAUAAAACCACAAAGAUGGGGAGAAACCAGAGCAGAAAAGCUGAAAAUUCUAAAAAUCAGAGCACGUCUUCUCCUUCAAAGGAUCACAGCUCCUCGCCACCAACAGAACAAAGCUGGACACAAUGAUUUUGACAAGUUGACAGAAGUAGGCUUCAGAAGGUUGAUAGUAACAUACUCUGAGCUAAAGGAGGAUGUUUGAAACCAUCACAAGGAAGCUAAAAACCUUGAAAAAACAUUAGAUGAAUGGCUAACUAGAAUAAACAGUGUAGAGAAGACCUUAAAUGACCUGAUGGAGCUGAAAACCAUGGCAUGAGAACUUCGUGAUACAUGCACAAGCUUCAAUAGCUGAUUUCAUCAAGUGGAAGAAAGGGUAUCAGUGAUUGAAGAUCAAAUUCAUGAAAAAAAGUGAGAAGAAAAGAUUAGAGAAAAAACAGUAAAAAGAAACAAACAAAGCCUCCAAGAAAUAUGGGACUAUGUGAAAAGACCAAAUCUACAUUUCAUUGGUGUACCUGAAAGUGACAGGGAGAAUGGAACAAAGUUGGAAAACCCUCUGCAGGAUAUUAUCCAGGAGAACUUCCCCAACCUUGCAAGGCAGGCCAACAUUCAAACUCAGGAAAUACAGAGAACACCACAAAGAUACUCCUUGAGAAGAGCAAUUCUGAGACACAUAAUUGUCAGAUUCACCAAGGUUGAAAUGAAGGAAAAAAUGUUAAGGGCAGCCAGAGAGAAAGGUUGAGUUACCCACAAAGGGAAGCCCAUCAGACUAACAGCAGAUCUCUUGGCAGAAACCCUACAAGCCAGAAGAGUGGGGCCAAUAUUCAACAUUCUUAAAGAAAAUAAUUUUCAACCCAGAUUUCAUAUCCAGCCAAACUAAGCUUCAUUAGUGAAGGAGAAAUAAAAUCCUUUACAGACAAGCAAAUGCUGAGAGAUUUUGUCACCACCAGGCCUGCCCUACAAGAGCUCGUGAAGGAAGGCACUAAACAUGGAAAGGAACAACCGGUACCAGCCACUGCAAAAACAUGCCAAUUUGUAAAGACCAUCGAUGCUAUGAAGAAACUGCAUCAAUUAAUGGGCAAAAUAACCAGUGAACAUCAUAAUGACAGGAUCAAAUUCACACAUAACAAUAUUAACCUUAAAUGUAAAUGGGCUAAAUGACCCAAUUAGAAGACACAGACUGGCAAAUUGGAUAAAGAGUCAAGACCCAUCAGUGUGCUGUAUUCAGGAGACCCAUCUCAUGUUGGAAAACACACAUAGGCUCAAAAUAAAGGGACAGAGGAAGAUCUACCAAGCAAAUGGAAAGAAAAAAAAAGCAGAGGUUGCAAUUCUAGUCUCUGAUAAAACAGACUUUCAACCAACAAAGAUCAAAAGUGACAAAGAAGGCCAUUACAUAAUGGUAAAGGGACAAUUCAACAAGAAGAGCUAACUAUCCUAAAUAUAUAGGCACCCAAUACAGGAGCACCCACCUUCAUAAAACAAGUCCUUAGAGACGUACAAAGAGACCUAGACUCUCAUACAAUAGUAAUGGGAGGCUUUAACAUCCCCCUGUCAAUAUUAGACAGAUCAAUGAGACAGAAGGUUAACAAGGAUAUCCAGGACUUGAACUCAGCUCUGCAACAAGUGGACCUAAUAGACAUCUACAGAACUCUCCAUCCCAAAUCAACAGAAUUUACAUUCUUCUCAGCACCACAUUGCACUUAUCCUAAAAUUGACCACAUAAUUGGAAGUAAAGCACUCCUCAACAAAUGUAAAAGAACAGAAAUCACAACAAACUGUCAGACGACAGUGCAAUCAAAUUAGAACUCCGGAUUAAGAAACACACUCAAAACCACACAACUACAUGGAAACUGAACAACUUGCUCCUGAAUGACUACUGGGUAAAUAACGAAAUGAAGGCAGAUAUAAAGAUGUACUUGGAAACCAAUGAGAACAAAGACACAACAUACCAGAAUCUCUGGGACACAUUUAAAGCAGUGUGUAGAGGGAAAUUUAUAGCACUAAAUGCCCACAAGAGAAAGCAGGAAAGAUCUAAAAUCGACACACUAACAUGUCAAUUAAAAAAACUAGAGAAGGAAGAGCAAACAAAUUCAAAAGCUAGCAGAAGGCAAGAAAUAACUAAAAUCAGAGCAGAACUGAAAGAGAUAGAGACACAAAAAACCCUUCAAAAAAUUAAUGAAUCCAGGAGCUGUUUUUUUGAAAAGAUCAACAAAAUUGAUAGAGACCACUAGCAAGACUGGUAAAGAAGAAAAGAGAGAAGAAUCAAAUAGAUGCAAUAAAAAAUGAUAAAGGGGAUAUCACCACUGAUCCCACAGAAAUGAAAACUACCAUCAGAGAAUACUAUAAACACCUCUACGAAAAUAAACUAGAAAACCUAGAAGAAAUGGAUAAAUUCCUGGACACAUACACUCUCCCAAGACUAAACCAGGAAGAAGUUCAAUCUCUGAAUAGACCAAUAACAGGCUCUGAAAUUGAGGCAACAAUUAAUAGCCUACCAACCAAAAGAAGUCCAGGACCAGACGGAUUCACAACUGAAUUCUACCCGAGGUACAAAGAGGAUCUGGUACCAUUACUUCUGCAGCUAUUCCAAUCAACAGUAAAAAAGGGAAUCCUCCCUAGCUCAUUUUAUGACACCAACAUCAUUCUAAUACCAAAGCCUGGCAGAGAAACAACAAAAAAAGAGAAUUUUUGACCAAUAUCCCUGAUGAACAUCGAUGCAAAAAUUCUCAAUAAAAUAUUGGCAAACUGAAUCCAGCAGCACAUCAAAAAGCUUAUCCAUCACGAUCAAGUCGGCUUCAUGACUGGGAUGCAAGACUGGUUCAACAUAUGCAAAUCAAUAAAUGUAAUCCAUCACAUACACAGAACCAAUGACAAAAACCACAUGAUUAUCUCAAUAGAUGCAGAAAAGGCCUUUGACAAAAUUCAACAGCCCGUCAUACUAAAAACUCUCAAUAAACUAGGUUUUGAUGGCAUGUAUCUCAAAAUAAUAAGAGCUAUUUGUGACAAACCCACAGCCAAUAUCAUACUGAAUGGGCAAAAACUGGAAGCAUUCCCUUUGAAAACCAGCACAAGACAAGGGUGUCCUCUCUUACCACUCCUGUUCAACGUAGUGUUGGAAGUUCUGGCCAGGGCAAUCAGGUAAAAUAAAUAAAGGGUAUUCAACUAGGAAAUAAGAAAGUCAAAUUGUCCCUGUUUGCAGAUGACAUGAUUGUGUAUUUUGAAAACCCCGUCGUCUCAGCCCAAAAUCUCCUUAAGCUAAUAAGCAACUUCAGCAAAAUCUCAGGAUACAAAAUCAAUGUGCAAAAAUCACAAGCAUUCCUGUACACCAUUAACAGACAAACAGAGCCAAAUCAUGAGUGAACUCCCAUUCACAAUUGCUACAAAGAGAAUAAAAUACCUAGGAAUCCAACUUACAAGGGAUGUGAAGGACCUCUUCAAGGAGAACUACAAACCACUCCCCAACGAAAUAAAAGAGGACACAAACAAAUAGAAGAAUAUUCCGUGCUCAUGGAUAGGAAGAAUCAAUAUCAUGAAAAUGGCCAAACUGCCCAAAGUAAUUUAUAGAUUCAAUGCCAUCCCCAUCAAGUUACCAAUGACUUUCUUCACAGAAUUGGAAAAAACUACUUUCAAGUUCGUAUGGAACCAAAAAAAGAGCCCAUGUUGCCAAGACAAUCCUAAAUCAAUGUUCAUCAAGGAUAUUGGUCUAAAAUUCUCUUUUUGUUGUGUCUCUCCCAGGCUUUGGUAUCAGGAUGAUGCUGGCCUCAUAAAAUGAAUUAGGGAGGAUUCCCUCUUUUUCUAUUGAUUGGAAUAGUUUCAGAAGGAAUGGUACCAGCUCCUCCUUGUACCUCUGGUAGAAUUCGACUGUGAAUCCAUCUGGUCCUGGACAUUUUUUCGUUGGUAAGCUAUUAAUUAUUGCCUCAAUUUCAGAGCCUGUUAUUGGUCUAUUCAGAGAUUCAACUUCUUCCUGGUUUAGUCUUGGGAGGGUAUAUAUGUUGAGGAAUUUAUCCAUUUCUUCUAGAUUUUCUAGUUUAUUUGCGUAGAGGAGUUUAUAGUAUUUUCUGAUGGUAGUUUGUAUUUCUGUGACAUCGUUGGUGAUAUCCCCUUUGUCAUUUUUUAUUGCGUCUAUUUGAUUCUUCUCUCUUUUCUUCCUUAUUAGUCUUGCUAGCAGUCUAUCAAUUUUGUUGAUCUUUUAAAAAAACCAGCUCCUGGAUUCAUUGAUUUUUCGAAGGGUUUUUUGUGUCUCUAUUUCCUUCAGUUCUGCUAUGAUCUUAGUUAUUUCUUGCCUUCUGCUAGCUUUUGAAUGUGUUUGCUCUUGCUUCUCUAGUUCUUUUAAUUGUGAUGUUAGGGUGUCAAUUUUAGAUCUUUCCUGCCUUCUCUUGUGGGCAUUUAGUGCUGUAAAUUUCCCUCUACACACUGCUUUGAAUGUGUCCCAGAGAUUCUGGUAUGUUGUGUCUUUGUUCUCACUGGUUUCAAAGAACAUCUUUAUUUCUGCCUUCAUUUCGUUAUUUACCCAGUAGUCAUUCAGGAGCAGGUUGUUCAGUUUCCAUGUAGUUGAGCAGUUUUGAGUGAGUUUCUUAAUUCUGAGUUCUAGUUUGAUUGCACUGUGGUCUGAGAGACAGUUUGUUAUAAUUUCUCUUCUUUUACAUUUGCUGAGGAGAGCUUUACUUCCAACUAUGUGGUCAAUUUUGGAAUAGGUGUGGUGUGGUGCAGAAAAGAAUGUAUAUUCUGUUGAUUUUGGGUAGGGAGUUCUGUAGAUGUCUAUUAGGUCCGCUUGGUGCAGAGCUGAGUUCAAUUCCUGGAUAUCCUUUUUAACUUUCUGUCUCGUUGAUCUGUCUAAUGUUGACAGUGGGGUGUUAAAGUCUACCAUUAUUAUUGUGUGGGAGUCUAAGUCUCUUUGUAGGUCACUGAGGACUUGCUUUAUGAAUCUGGGUGCUCCUGUAUUGGGUGCAUAUAUAUUUAGGAUAGUUAGCUCUUCUUGUUGAAUUGAUCCCUUUACCAUUAUGUAAUGGCCUUCUUUGUCUCUUUUGAUCUUUGUUGGUUUAAAGUCUCUUUUAUCAGAGACUAGGAUUGCAACUCCUGCCUUUUUUUGUUUUCCAUUUGCUUGGUAGAUCUUCCUCCAUCCCUUUAUUUUGAGCCUAUGUGUGUCUCUGCACGUGAGAUGGGUUUCCUGAAUACAGCAAACUGAUGGGUCUUGACUCUUUAUCCAAUUUGCCAGUCUGUGUCUUUUAAUUGGAGCAGUUAGCCCAUUUACAUUUAAGGUUAAUAUUGUUAUGUGUGAAUUUGAUCCUGUCAUUAUGAUGUUAGCUGGUUAUUUUGCUCGUUAGUUGUUGCAGUUUCUUCCUAGCCUUGAUGGUCUUUACAAUUUGGUGUGUUUCUUCAGUGGCUGGUACCGGUUGUUCCUUUCCACAUUUAGUGCUUCCUUCAGGAGCUCUUGUAGGGCAGGCCUGGUGGUGACAAAAUCUCUCAGCAUUUGCUUGUCUGUAAAGGAUUUUAUUUCUCCUUCACUAAUGAAGCUUAGUUUGGCUGGAUUUGAGAUUCUGGGUCAAAAAUUCAUUUCUUUAAGAAUGUUGAAUAUUGGCCCCCACUCUCUUCUGGCUUGUAGAGUUUCUGCCGAGAGAUCAGCUGUUAGUCUGAUGGGCUUCCCUUUGUGGGUAACCCGAGCUUUCUCUCUGGCUGCCCUUAACAUUUUUUCCUUCAUUUCAACUUUGUUGAAUCUGACAAUUAUGUGUCUUGGGGUUGCUCUUCUCGAGGAGUAUCUUUGUGGCGUUCUCUGUAUUUCCUGAAUUUGAAUGUUGGCCUGCCUUGCUAGAUUGGGGAAGUUCUCCCGAAUAAUAUCCUGCAGAGGGUUUUCCAACUUGGUUCCAUUCUCCCCAUCACUUUCAGGUACACCAAUCAGACGUAGAUGUGGUCUUUUCACAUAGUCCCAUAUUUCUUGGAGGCUUUGUUCAUUUCUUUUUAUUGUUUUUUCUCUAAACUUCUCUUCUUGCUUCAUUUCAUUCAUUUCGUCUUCCUUCACUGAUACUCUUUCUUCCAGUUGAUUGCAUCGGCUACUGAGGCUUAUGCAUUCGUCACGUAGUUCUCCUGGCGUGGUUUUCAGGUCCAUCAGGUCCUUUAAGGACUUGUCUGCAUUGAUUAUUCUAGUUAUCCAUUCAUCUAAUUUUUUUUCAAGGUUUUUAACUUCUUUGCCAUUGGUUUGAACUUCCUCCUUUAGCUUGGAGUAGUUUGAUCUUCUGAAGCCUUCUUCUCUCAAAUCGUCAAAGUCAUUCUCCAUCCAGCUUUGUUCCGUUGCUGGUGAGGAGCUGCAUUCCUUUGGAGGAGGAGAGGCACUCUGAUUUUUAGAGUUUCUGGUAUUUCUGCUCUGUUUUUUCCCCAUCUUUGUGGUUUUAUCUACCUUUGGUCUUUGAUGAUGGUGACGUACAGAUGGGUUUUUGGUGUGGAUGUCCUUUCUGUUUGUUAGUUUUCCUUCUAACAGUUAGGACCCUCAGCUGCAGGUUUGUUGGAGUUUUCUGGAGGUCCACUCCAGACCCUGUUUGCCUGGGUAUCAGCAGCGGUGGCUGCAGAUCAGCGGAUAUUAGUGAACCGCAAAUGCUGCUGCCUGAUCGUUCCUCUGGAAGUUUUGUCUCAGAGGAGUACCUGGGUGUGUGAGGUGUCAGUCCGCCCCUACUGGGGGGUGCCUCCCAAUUAGGCUACUCGGGGGUCAGGUACCCACUUGAGGAGACAGUCUGCCCGUUCUCAGAUCUCAAGCUGCGUGCAGGGAGAACCACUACUCUCUUCAAAGCUGUCAGACAGGGACAUUUAAGUCUGCAGAGGUUACUGCCGCCUUCUGUUUGUCUGUGCCCUGCCCCCAGAGGUGAAGCCUACAGAGGCAGGCAGGCCUCCUUGAGCUGUGGUGGGCUCCACCCAGUUCGAGCUUCCCGGCCGCUUUGUUUACCUACUCAAGCCUUGGCAAUGGUGGGCGCCCCUCCCCCAGGCUCACUGCCGCCUUGCAGUUUGAUCUCAGACUGCUGUGCUAGCAAUGAGAGAGGCUCCAGGGGCAUAGGACCCUCCGAGCCCGGUGUGUGAUAUAAUCUGGUGUGCCGUUUGUUAAGCCUGUUGGAAAAGCGCAGUAUUAGGGUGGGAGUGACCCAAUUUUCCAGGUGCCAUCUGUCACCCCUUUGUUUGACUAGGAAAGAGAAUUCCCUGACCCAUUGCACUUCCCGGGUGAGGCAAUGCCUCACCCUGCUUCAGCUCAUGCAUGGUGCACUGCACCCACUGUCCUGCACCCACUGUCCAGCACUCCCUAGUGAGAUGAACCCUGUACCUCAGUUGGAAAUGCCAAAAUCACCCGUCUUCUGCAUUGCUCACACUGGGAGUUGUAGACUGGAGCUGUUCCUAUUCGGCCAUCUUGGCUCCACCCUAUAGCUGGAUUUUUAAAGCCCAAUUAUAUAUGGGCUUUAUUUCAUUAGAAGGAUUUAAUUUAUUUAUAUUGAUUGUGAUUUUAUUUAUUCCUGACAUUUUAUACAAUUUACAACUUUUUUCUUUUUUGCCAUUUGUGAAAUUAAGUUGCUUUCUUCUUUAUUUCAGUAGCAUAGAAAUUAUACCUCUGAUUUUUCUUCUGCUCACAAAUAUUUCAAUUUUAACCACCAUUUUACAUGUAUUAUUCUUCAACUCCUAUAAAUAAGCAGCAUCUGUGUCUUGCCCUUGAUCAAUUUCACUCCCAUUGGUCCUCUUUCUCCUACUACUGCCAUAUUGUAUCAUUCCAGGUGAUAAUAAUCUGGAAUUUACUUUAUUUAUUUUAUUUCCAGUUCAAAUCAUUGUUUAGAAUUAGUUGUAGGUAUUUCUGAUUUUUUUUUUUUUUUUCCACAUAACCUCUGCGGCUACUGCCCUAGAACAAAUCAUCACCAUCUCUGCUUGGCCCUUCCCUGUAACCUCUGACUGGCUUGCCUACUUCAGUUCUUUCCUUCUGUACCCCCUCCCUCAUGUUAUUUGCCACAUAAAAGCAAGAGUUAUCCUUUUUUAAAAAAAUGCAAAUUGUGGUAGCACACCCCUGUAACCCCAGCUACUCUGGAGGCUGAAGCAAGAGCAUUGUUUGAACUCAACAGUUGGAGGCUGUAGUGUACUAUGAUCACCCCUGUAGAUAAUCCACUGCACUCUAGCCUGGGCAACACAUCGAGACCCUGUCUCUUAUAACAAAAAAAAAAAAACCUACAAGUCCAAUUGUGCCUUAAAACUCUCUUUUGGCAUGUCAUCGCAUUUAGAACAAAAUCCUGCGUUCCUAAGUCCUUACCCUGCCUUCCUAGAAGGCUUUAAUGAUCUGUCCCCUCUGCCUUUGGUGUUCACUCUGCUUUGGCCACUGGGACCUUCUCAGUCCUCAAUUCACCAAACACACUCCUGGAUUAGGGUCUUUAUACUUACUGUUCACUCUGCCUGAAAUGUUCUUCCCUCAGAUGAGCACUUGGCAUGCUCACAUACUUCUUUCAGGUCUUUGUUCAAAUGUCACCUCCUCAGAGAGGCUUUUGCUGACAAACCUAUUCAAAAUUGCAUCCUCUGGCCCCACUUUACACUCUAAUUCCUUACACUGCUUUAUUUUAUUCUUCAUAGUACUUAUCAUCAUUAUCAAGCAUGUAUCACUUAUUGUUUAUUUGCUUGCUUCUUGUCUGUUUUCCUUACAAGAUUGAAAUCUUCAUGAAGGUAGGGACUCUGUUUUGUUCACUAUGUUAUCCUUAGUGCUAAAAACAGUGCCUGGCACCUAGUAGGCACUUUUUACUUAAUAUCUAAAUCAAUACAUAUAUGAAUGAGUGAAUGAAUGAAUGAAUGAGUGAAUGAAAAACUCCAAGUCUACUCUCAACUUUGCAGGAAUUCUUUUUCGAGUAUCAGUCUGAUCCUGUCUGGCUUCUAUCUUUUGUGCUUUUAUAGAUUCCUUAAAAUUCUAGUCUGCCAAUAGUACCUAUUCUGAUUUAAGUAAAGUUAUGAGAUUCAUUUUGUUUUUAAUUUUUUCUGAGGAAUAUUUUUUUCUGAAGAGAUAAGCAGAUUGAUGAGCUCAUCUUGAUCUUUGUCAGUAUAUUUAAAUCAUUGGUUAGGAUAAUUUUUAACAUGUUAAACUUUAGGGCUCAGAGACUCUUUAACUUCCUCAUGUUACAGAUUUUAAAAUGAGACUCAGAGAAGUGAUUCAGUUUACCCAAAUCCCCCUACAAAACACAGCUCUAAAUAAAUACUAAUUCUGUGCCUCUGCAAAAUAUUGUGCAGGCUCACUUGCGAGGCAUGCAGGAAACUCAACAACUGUCAGAAAGAAAGCUCGGAAAUGGCAGAAGGAUCUCAGAAAUAAUCUUAGCUGUAAGGACUGGCCUCAAAGACGGUGGCACCAUUUGAAUCAUAGGGCUUAGCAAACUCAAGGUGAUGUCUUGCCUCAAGAGACUUCAAUCAGUUGAUAGGUGAAUUGCAGCAAUGGAAAUCUCCAGUGUGGUCAUUUUUCAUUAGGACAGGGGGAAGAAUCUUGGUUCUGGGAAAUCUACCACGUGAUGAGGAAUUAGAGAUUCAAGAGACAAGAUUUGGGCCCUGAAUGAGGGGUUGGCAAGGGUUACACAGUUCAGUCAUGAUCGAAUCAGGAGCUUAUCUUAACCCAGAGAUUCCUUUCUAGUGAUAAUCGCUCUUUCAACCAAUAAAAAUAUGUUUAAAUCUAUCUAUGACCUGGAAGCCCUCCCAUCCCACCCCUUGCUACCUCCAGUUGUCCUGCUCUUCCAUAUUGAACCAAUGUAAAUCUUACAUGUAUUAAUUAAUGUAUUAUGUAUCCCUAAAUAUAUAUAAAAGCAAGCUGUGGCCAGGCGUAGUGGGUCACACCCUGUAAUCCCAGCACUUUAGGAGGCUGAGGCAGGUGGAUCACCUGAGGUCAGGAAUUUGAGACCAGCCUGGCCAACACAGUGAAACCCCGUCUCUACUAAAAACACAAAAAUUAGCUGGGCGUGGUUGUGCACACCUAUAAACCCAGCUACUCAGGAGGCUGAGGCAGGAGAAUCACUUGAACCUGGGAAGCGAAGGCUGCAGUGAGCUGAGAUCGCGCCACUGCACUCCAGCCUGGGAGACAGAGCAAGAUUCCACCUCAAAGAAAAAAAAGAAAAGCAUGCUGUAACCUUACCACCUUGGGCACAUGUCACCAGGAUCUCCUGAGGCUACAUUCUUAACCAUGGCAAAAUAAACUUUCUAAAUUGACUGAGACCUGUCUCAGAUAUUUUGGGUUCAGGAGUAGUAUAGAACACUAGAAGUUAUUCCUCCUAUCUAACUGUAAUUUUGUAUCCUUUAAUAAAUCUCUCCCUAUCUCCUCCUUCCCAUCUUUCCCAGCCUCUAACAGCCCCCGUUCUAUUAGGUUGGUGCAAAACCUGUUUUAUUAGGUUUGCACCAACCCAAAAUCAACUAUUUUACACUUCCACAAAUGAAUGAGAGCAUGCGAUGUUUAUUUAAUUUUCUGUUACUGGCUUAUUUCAUGUAACAUAAUGUCCUUUCGUUCAUCCAUAUUGCCGCAAAUAACAGUAUUUCAUUCUUUUUUUAUGGUAGAAUAGUAUUCUAUUGUGUUUAUAUAACAUAUUUUCUUUAUGCAUUCACCUGUUGUUGGACACCUAGGUUGAUUUUAUGUUUUGGUUAUUGCAAAUAGUGUUGCAAUAAACAUGAGGGUGCAGAUGUCUCUUUGAUAUACCAAUUCCCUUUCCUUUGGGUAGGUGCCCAGUAGUGGGAAUGCUAGAUCAAAUGGCAGUUCUAUUUGGAGUGUUUUUAGGAAUCUACAUACCGUUCCCAUAGUAGCUGUACUAGUUUACAUUCCCAUAAGCAGUGUAUAAGAGUUUCCUUUUCUCCACAUCUUCAUCAGCAUUUGCUAUUUUUCACCUUUUUGAUAAUCACCAUCCUUACUGGGAUGAGAUAAUACCUCAUUGUCGUUUUGAUUUGCAUUUCCCUAGUGAUUAAUGAUGUUGAGGUUUUUUUCAUACAUUUAUUGGAGAUUUGUAUGUCUUCUUUUGAAAAAUGUUUGUUCAUAGCUUGUAGGCCUUUUGCCUGAGAUCAAGUGAGAAACGUCUGUUCAGAUCACCUACCCAUUUUACAAUGAGAUUGCUUCCUACGGUUGAGAUAUUUGAGUUCAUUGUAUAUCCUGGAUAUUAAUCCCCUGUCAGAUGAAUAGUUUGCAAAUAUUUUCUCUCAUUCUGUAGGUUAUCUUUUCAAUCUGUUGAUUGCUUCCUUGGCUGUGCAGAAGCUCUUUGGUUUGAUAUAACCCCAUUUGUUUAUUUUUGCUUUCAUGGCCUAUGUUUUUGAGGUCUUAUUCACAAAAUCUUUUCCCACACCAACGUCCUAAAGUGUUUCCUUUUUUUUUUUCUAGUAGUUUAUAGUUUUGGAUCUUACAUUUAGGUCUUGGGUCCAUUUUGAAUUGAUUUUUUUAAUAGAGUGAGAGGUGGGGGUUUAGUUUCAUUCUUCUGCAUAUGGACAUCCAGUUUCCCCAGCACCAUUUAUUAUAGAGACUAUCCUUUCCCUAAUGUAUGUUCUUGGUGUCUUUGUCAAAAAUCAAUUGGCUGUAAAUGUGAGGAUUAAUAUCUGGGUUCUCUAUUCUGUUACAUUGGUCUAUGUGUCUGUUUUUAUGCCAGUACCAUGCUGUUUUGCUACUACAGCUUUGUAGUAUAUUUUUAUUCUUUUUGCUCAGGAUUGCUUUGGCUCUUCAGGGUCUUUUGUGGUUCCAUACAAAUUUUAAGGCUUAUUUGUUCAGCCAGGCCUAGCGGCUCACACCUGUAAUCAAUCCCAGCACUUUAGGAGGCCAGCGUGGGAGGAUCAGUUGAGCCCUGGAAUUCAAUACCAGCUUGAGCAACAUAGUGAGACCCUGUCUCUACAAAAAGAAGAAGAAGGAGGAGGAGGAGGAAUAGAAGGAGAAGAAGGAAGAAAGAAAAAAAAGAAAAAGAAUUUCUUCUAAUCCUAUGAAGAACAUCAUUGGCAUUUUGAUAUUAAAUCCAUAGAUCACUUGGGGUAGUAAUAAGCAGCAUGUUAAGUGUGUACCUUUUUGUUUGUUUGUUUGUUUGUUUUUCUGAGACGGGGUCUCACUUUGUCACCCAGGCUGGAGUGCAGCAGCAUGAUCUGAGCUCACUGCAGUCUUGACCUCCUGGGUUCAAACGUCCUCCAACCUCAGCCUCCUGAGUAGCUGGGACUAUAGGCACACAUCACCACACCUGGCUAAUGUUUUUCUUUUUUUUUCUUUUUUUUUUUUUUUCCUGUGAUGGAGUCUGUCUCACUUUGUUGCCUAAGCUGGAGUGCAAUGGCAUGACCUCAGCUCACUGCAAACUCCACCUCCUGGGCUCAAGCCAUCCUCCCUCCUCAGCCUCCCAAGUAGCUAGAACUACAGGCAUGCACCACCAUGCCUGGCCAAUUUUUGUAUUUUUAGUAGAGAUGGGGUUUCACCAUGUUGCCCAGGCUGGUCUCAACUGGGCUCAAGUGAUCCUCGGCCUCCCAAAGUGCUGGGAUUAUAGACACAAGCCACUGCACCUGGCAUGAUUUUUUUUUUUAAACAAGAGAAAAUUAUCUUUAAAAUUAACAGUUAAGGUGAAGUUUAAAAGAGUAUUUGUCAUCCUAAUAAUGCUUCUUGGUGUUUUUCUUCAAUAGGAGCCUUUCUUGUCCUCUCAUUUUUCACAUUAGAUGAGAUCUAAACACACAUCAAAACUGGGAUGCAGUAAUAGGUGAGGAAAAACCAAUGUCUUUCACUGUACCCAGGCAUUAAAUUUGAUCCCUAGCAUGCCUGGAAAGGGACAGUUUUCCUACUGACUUCCUGAUAUGUACCUAAACUGCAUGGGAUCUCAUCCUUUUUUGUAAAGAGCAAUAAAAUAUUUCAUUUAAUACAAGAACACCUUUCAUCCAGCCUCAUUCAAUUUUCUAGGUUAAUUUUUGCUUUCCAUUCUUCCAGGAUGCUUAAAAUAAGAAGAGUAAAUUCCAAAACCAGCUCUGUUCAUACUAGAGCAAGGCUGAGCAAAGCAUUGCUGACUACGUGCACAGUGUCAGGAGCCAAGCAAACUCUUCAGCCCUCAUUUUCUGGGGACCAAAAGCAGCUUCUGUGUUCUUGCCCUAGGGCUCACCCUUAGUGCCUUCUAGGUAAGACUGCCUUGGCUUCCCUCUGCUAAUCAGGGAAAAGGUGAUUGGAUAGAGUCAUGUUUCACCUGAAGUAUUUUGGCCCCUUAUCUGAACCAGUCAUUACAUCUUAAGGCAGUUGUAACUAGGCUGCUAUAAUGAUCUGACAAAAGACCUAUUCCUCCAACAUUACCAGUCAUUAACUUUCCAAGACAAGAUGUGACAUGCCACAGCCCUCAGAUAGUUCAUCCAGAAGGAGUCUCUUCUUGACAAAUAUAAUCCCUCUUCACCUUUGUUCAUGACAAUUUUAUUUCUUCCACGGUGUCAAACUACCAAUUUUUCCAAGUCAGCAUUCCCUAGUUAGACCAAGGGACUUUUUCCACUUCAAAGGGAGGUGCUGCUAUCUUUUCACUUUUGAUUGUUCCUUACUUUAAUCGUCUUUCCUAAAAUAGUAGUUUUAAGUGGAUAUAUAUUUAAAGUAGCAAAGCCUGAUGCCUUAUUUUUGCUGCAAAUUUUGCAGUUCUAUGUAUAAAAACUUGCUUUAAUCAUAUGUCACUACGUCAUGUUCAGUAUGCACAAAUAAAAACUUAUUCUCCAGAUAUGAUGUCAGAAUGAAUAAAAACUAACAAUUGGGAUAUUUGCCUAAAAGUAAAAAAGAAGCAGGACACUUGGUGUAUACUCUUUAGUUCUUAACUUUAUUUGAGUAACUUUGCCUACCCUGAAAAUUAUAAAAUAAUGUCUUUUGUAAAAAUAGGACCAUUGCUUCAAAGUAUCUCUCUUUUCCCCUUCAGUGGCUAAAUCCAUACAAAGCUAUAAAGUUGAUAAUCAAAAUUGAAAACAAGUAGUUCUCUCUAAAGUUAGAACUGCAGUUCCCUUGGAGGGUCUCAUUAGAUAGAAUCCAGGUGCAACUCUCUGCAACAUAGUGUUAGAUUCUGAACAGAAGUAAAAUAGAGCAUGAUUCCUUGACUUAAAAUGUAACUAAGCAAAGAACACAAGAGUACAGAGGAAACUAAGCUGGUAGAGUCAGGGGAAAGAUAAGUGACAGAGAGCCUGAUGGCCUUGCAGUAGUCUGAGAUGGCAACUUGAAGAAUGGUCAAGGAAAGGCAUUCAAAGUCUAGUUCCAGAACUGACUGAAUGGAAUCAAGAAAAGUGGACUGGGCAAUUGCCAGAUGCUGUCUGAAGGCAUAAGGGUAUGGACUCUUGUAUUGGACCUGGAUUCUCUCCAGAUAACCUUCUCUAGAUUAUAUAAUCUCUGGAUUUUAGAAUGGCAAAGUUCAACGAGUUUAUCCAGGGUUAGUUUAAGAUGAAAAAUAAAAGAAAAGAGAAAAAACUAAGAAACGUAGAAAGGGUAGUAACCUCAACAUCUUGUUUAAUAAAGAAGGAACUCUUAUCUCUCUUGAAGUCAUUCACAUUGGGUCUACCGUAGGAUUUCUCUGCAUAGUAAUGAGAGCUGAAUGAACGAACUCUGAAGAAUUAAAAGAGAUCAAGUGCUAAGAUCUCAGUGAUGGGCGGUACCUAAAGAGGUGAGGCUAAGAGGAGAAAGAAAAUCCCCUGGGGGAGAUAGAGAGUAAGGGUCAAUGAAUAUAGGGGAGUAAACUCAUAAAUAGCAUUUAAAAUUUAUUAUUAGCCUGUAGGUAACUUUUAAUUCUUCAGUUACAGAGAAAACCCCCAUUUUGAGGUUACAAGGAUUUUCUUUUCUUAAAAGUGUUAUUAGAUGUGUCCUACUCCCCCUGUAUAUAUAAUUUUUAAAAAUAAUAGUCUGGAUUAUGAGCUGAAAAGUCUAGUUAUUACCAUGUAACUGUUUUAUGCAAUGUGAUAUAAUUAUUUACUAAUUGUUCCAUAUUCUCUCAUUUUUGUUUUUUCUCUCUUAAUUUGAUCUUCAGUACCUCCAAGGUUGUACCAUAUGCAAUGCUUACAGGCCUCAACUCUGAAGGCUAUUAGAGCUGAGUAUAAUUCUUAGCCUCUCUUAUCUGUGUGGCCUUGAUCUAAUUACUAAUCUAAGUUUCAGUUUCCUUGUGUAUAAAAUGGGAAUAAUAAGAAUAUCUUUCUCAUAGGGUUGUGCCAAGGAAUAAAUAAUGUAAAAUGAAUAAAAUAAUGUAACAUAAGUAAAAUAUUUCCAGUUUGUGAUAAACAGCACAGCAUUUAAGUUUGCUGAUAAAGGCUUGUCUACCUUAUUUUCUCCUAUCGUAUGUGCACCUUUUGUUUUUGUUUGUUUUUUUGAGACAGGGUCUCGCUCUGUCACCCAGGCUGGAGUGCAGUGGCACAUUCUUGGCUCACUGCAACCUCCGCCACCCUGGCUCAAGCCAUCCUUCCACCUCAGCUUCACAAGUAGCUGGGACCACAGGUGCCCACCACCACACCCAGCUAAUUUUUUGUAUUUUUGGUAGAGAUGGAGUUUCACCGUGUUGCCCAGGCUGGUCUUGAACUCCUGAGCUCAAACGAUCAACCCACCUCAGCCUCCCAAAGCUCUGGGAUUAUAGGCAUUACCACUGCACCCAGCCUAUAUGUGCCUUUAACUCCAUUGUAGAAUGCAUAUUGUGUAGAGUGUAUUCUAUUUUUUAUUAUCACAUCAUGUGAAAAGUUCAGGACUAAUUUUAACAAAAUUUGACGUUAUGUUUAUUAUGGUCUGACUGAAACUAAAGAUUCCAAAAUGCAAAUAAUCCCUCAGGGCAGCUGAAACUAAAGCACAACAUGUAUGACUACUCUUAGAAGAGGCGUGCCAUAAGCAACAAGACACAAUGGAAGGGAAUAAACAAGCAGUGGUUUCUGAGGGUCAGGGACUCCAAGUGGCAGUUAAUUUGAAUUGACUGCUUCCCACUUGGGUAACUCUAGGUAUAUACUCCAGAGGAAUUAGUAGCAGGAAAUUCAUUCUUUUUUAAUAUAAAUUUCUUUUGAUAACAAUGUAUUCGUUAUGAGGACAUGAGCAUGGGAAAGAAAAGCUAAGAUGUUAAACAGAUGAAAAUAUUUACAUAACUUCAAAUAGUUGCAAAUACAAAGCCAAGGAGAAGUAGAUUGAAUUACAUUUUCUAAAGAAACUGUCGGACCCAGCCACUGAGCUUUCUCAUCAUUCUCCAUGGUCCCCAAACCUCUGCACCCUCCUGUUCCAUCCUCUCCCCCAACCUGGAUAAGCAAUGUAAAAGCAAUUUCAGUGUUUAAGUUGAACUGUGGUUAGUGUAGCUGAGUCACAGAAUAAACUGGAAAGAGCCAUUCAAGGAAAAAGAAAAACACGUACUAUAAUUGAAGACAAACAUCACUCAGUCUAUAACGCAUUUUCAGGAAUUCAUGUAUGUGUUUUUAUAUAUAAGAUAUAUAAAUAUAAUAUGCAUAAAUAUAGUCACUGGGCAAUCAGCAGAAAGUAUUUAAGGUAACUUAUAUGCAUUGCCAAAAUCUGCGAUAUAUCAUAUUUUAUUUAGUGCAUCCAAAUACCCCAAUUAUUACUAAAUGGAAGCAAGCUGAUAAGCUGCAAGCUAUCUCUAGAAAAUUGGGCAUGAGACUAUGUUAGAAAUCUUCCAGGAAUAGAAGUAAACAGAAAACAACUAAGAUUAGUUGCUUGCAUAUUUUUAGUUAAUAUUAAAUUAAAAAUGUACCGGCUGGGCACGGUGGCUCACGCCUGUAAUCCCAGCACUUUGGGAGGCCGAGGCGGGCGGAUCACGAGGUCAGGAGAUCGAGACCAUCUUGGCUAACACGGUGAAACCCCGUCUCUACUAAAAAUACA
rnacentral:lncRNA from 1 species